rnacentral:lncRNA from 1 species
UGACAAGCUAACGCUGUUAUGGAUGUAAUAACACCGUGUCAUAGUUGGGCCUAAUCGAAAACCAUUUGCUUGAUAAAAACACACUUGAAAUGAUUUGCGAUGGACGAAUGUAUCCAGAGCGGCAUCAUUUCUAGUUGGUGGUUGUAUUUGUGGUGCGUGUUCUGGCACGCUUCAUAACUUGCUGCUUAUAGAACACGCUCUGUUUCUCGUUCAUCUUCAAUUGUUUCUCCAAUUAAAAGUAUCUGUUGUGAUCCGAGUAUGUAAGCUCUCCAAAUGAUAAUAGUGGCUCUCUGUUUGUAUUUCUCCCCUAAACACCUCUGAUGAUUUGGUUUUCUUUUGGAUUUUUUUAGUAAUGUUCAUUUUUUUUUUCAAUCUCCAGUUGCUUUGGUUACUUCUUUUUCCUUUUUCGUGAGUUGAACUGCACAUACUUAUGAUUUUCCAAAUCAAAUGGUUAAUGUAUGAAUCUCGAUGAGUAAGAUUGGUUCUGAGUGAUGUAAGGUGGGGAGUGCUGUCACUGUUAUACUUUUUGCAUUGUUCUUAUGAAGAUUGUAGAUUAAACCCAGGUAAGACAUCAUAUGCCAAAAAAAAAGCAUUUCUAUUGCAAACAAUAUUAUUUUUCUAGGAUCUUGAUAGGUGUCACGUGUGGCACAAACACAUGACAGUUCUGAACAGUUUUUUUUCUGGGUUUCAUUUUUCUUUUCGGAUGACAACUUUAGUUGUAAAAACCGUCAGGGUUGUAUUGUUUUGUGCCACACGUGUGGCACUUAUCAUUUGGGUUUUGCUAAGUAUGGAGCAACCAUUUAGAAUUUCUUCAAGGUAGUAUAUUUUCAUUCCUAUUUACUUAAACAAUUUUGUACAAAGGUCAGGCCUGAGCUAGGCCUUUAAAUGAAAAAUAGCUAUAAAGGAGUGAAAAUUACUAAAAUAUAUUAGUUCAUGCUUCAAAUGGGCUUUAUUCUUCAUUGAUACUAGAAGAACCCAUUUGAACUCUUCUUCCUAUGUGAGGCUCACUGCGUAGAAAACAAUGGCGGUAGCGAGCUGGCCCGGCACAAUUUAGUUACAGCUUCUACAGGAAUUGGUUCUGGGAACCUUUUUCGGUCCUGUUUUUCCUUUUAUUUUCUCUGUAGUUUCUAUAUUUUUAUAUUGUGGUUAUUAUAAAAAAUUGCAAAAUCCAAAAUAUCUUUAAAAUUUUAAAAAUGUUCCUAAGUUUCAGAAAAUGUUUGUAUUUUAUCAAUAGAUAUUCAUAAAUUUAAAAUAAGUCUGGUUUUCUUAGAACAUUAAAUUUUUUUAAAAACUAUUUGGACUUCAUACUAAAAUGUUCAGAUUGUUUUUAAAAAUAAUCACAAUAGGUUUAAAUAGUGUUCAUAGUUUUAGAAAAUGUUUUUAAGUAUUCCACAAUUUUUGAAAGAAAAUGAAAAACGAAAAAAUUCAGAGAAAAAUAGGAAAACAACUCGCUAUAGUAUCUUCACUAUACGAGCCAGCCUAGUCGGUCGCACCCUGUUUGAUUGUGUUUUGAAUCAGAAUGAUCGAAUCCUUUCAACGAUGGUUACAUGUCCCCUUUUAUAUCUCCCGAAGAGACACGACGAUCCCUCGAGGAGGCGUCGGUUCCAGGAGAUCGAAGGGAGGCGUCGGUUGCAGGACAAACCGCAACGACGGUUUGGGCAAGGGGAGAUUUUCCCCUAAUUACAGAAUUAUUUUAACACUCCCCCUAAUCUACGCUUGACCAUGUAGAUCAUCUUCACGAUUGUCCGGGAAGCUCUAUCAUCUCAAAAGAUUCUCCUUCAAAAGUUCUUCAUAAAAUCUUUGAUGAGGUCCUGAAAAAUAUACUCACAAAGAAAGAUAGCAUAAUAUGAUGUCAUUAAAAUGAGGAUAUCUCAAGAAGAGACUCCCCCUGACACCUGCAAGUCCCUAAGUCUUCGCAUACCAAUUCCAUGAACACAUUUCUGGAAUGUAGAAUUUGGUAGAGACUUGGUAAAUAAAUCAGCAAGGUUGUCGCAUGAUUUGACUUGCAGAAUGCUUAUUUCCCCGCUUUUCUGAAGAUUAUGGGGAAAGAACCAUUUAGGAGAAAUAUGCUUGGUCAUAUUACUCUUGAUGUAUCCUGUUUGCAUCUGCGCAACACAAGCUGCAUUAUCUUCAUAGAUAAUGGUAGGUGAUUUUAUCGAACCCAUUCCACAUGACUGUUGUAUGUGGUUUAUCAUUCUGCGAAGCCAUACACAUUCGCAUAUAAUGAAAUUAUUUCAGAAUGAUUGGUAGAUGUUGCCACCAGAGUCUGUUUCGAAGACUUCCAUGAUAUAGCAGUACCACCAUGUAGGAACACAAAGCCGGUCUGAGAUCUGGCGUUAUGGGGAUCAGACAAAUAGCCGGCAUCUGCAUACCCAAAUACAUCAGAGUCCUGAUUGUUCUGGAACUGGAAAAAUAGGCCAAGAUCCUUUGUGCCUUGGAGAUAUCGAAAGAUAUUCUUCACUCCAGACCAAUGACGUUUGGUGGGAGCUGCGCUAUGUCUAGCAAGUAGAUUCACUGCAAAUGCAAUAUCAGGUCUUGUGCAAUUUGCAAGAUACAUAAGCGCUCCAACAGCACUAAGGUAUGGAACUUCAAGUCCCAACACCUCUUCUCCAUCAUCCCUUGGUCUGAACGGAUCUUUCUCUACGUCUAGAGAUCGAACCACCAUGGGAGUUUUAGAUGGAUAGGAUUUGUCCAUAUUGAAUUUCUCCAAUAUUUUCUGGAUAUAGGCAGAUUGGUGUACCAUGAUUCCUGAAGGAAGAUGCUCAAGUUGAAUACCUAAGCAAAAUUUGGUUUUACCCAAAUCCUUCAUCUCAAAUUCCAUCUUUAGGUGAUUGCGUGCUUCAUCAAUGUCUGGUGUGCUGCCGAUGAUGUUGAGAUCAUCAACAUACACAGAAAUGAUGCAAAAUCCUGUAGAGGACUUCUUGAUGAAAACACAUGGGCAAUCAACACUAUUGGAGUAACCUUUCCGAAGAAGGAACUCACUGAGUCGGUUGUACCACAUCCGUCCCGACUGCCUUAAGCCAUAUAAUGACUUACUCAGCUUUACACAAUACAUGUUGCGUUUUGCAUUUUUAUUCGGGACAGGGAUUCCAUCAGGAACCUUCAUAUAUAUGUCCGAAUCUAGUGACCCAUAAAGGUAUGCGGUCACGACGUCCAUCAACUGCAUAGAUAGACGAUUUUGCACUGCCAAGGAUAUAAGAUAUCGGAAAGUGGUUGCACUCAUUACUGGAGAAUAUGUUUCAGUGAAAUCAAUGCCGGGUUUCUGCGUGAAACCUUGUGCUACGAGCCUUGCUUUAUAUCUCACCAUCUCAUUGUUCUCAUUCCGUUUCCGGAGAAAAACCCAUUUGAAUCCCACAGGGAAAACACUGGGAGGUGUAGGUAUUGCUUCAGUGAAUAUCUUUCUUUUGUUAAGCGAGGCAAUUUCUGCUUGGAUUGCAUCCUUCCAUUUAGGCCAGUCGGAGCGCUUUUGGCACUCAACGAUAGACCUUGGAUCAUGAUCAGUGAGAAGAGUAUCUGCAAUCUUGUCAGCAAAAUAUAUGUCGACAGUCGUAGUCUUACGGUCAAAUAAUUCUCCAGAAUCAACAUAGUUGAUGGAAAUUUCCUGCACCCCUAAUGACUCUUCGUGAUUUCCCAAUACAAUCGAGUCUGGGUGUUCCGAUGUCCCAGUCAGUUUGUGCACACUGAAACUGGGUUGUAGAGGUUGCCCUUCCACUGGGUGUAUACUACCCAUCAGGUGUUUGUCAAUGUUGAGUUGACCUGCAUUUACUGACUCCGAGGUUUUUCUCCUCGAUUUCCUUUACUGCUUGCUAGAAGCAUGCUCCAGUUCAGAGACCGUACUACUCCCCCUCUUUUUAGGAAUAGUGAGUUGAGUGGUUUUUGUUGGUACCUCCACUCUUUCUGGUGCGUUUCUGGCCGGGUUUAAGGAUUUUGUAACACCUUUCAAAUCAGUAAACGAAUCUGGCAGAUUAUUUGCAAGAUGUUGCAAAUUAAUGAUCUUCCGAACUUGAAGUUCGGUCUCUUGGGUACGUGGAUCAGAGGAUGAAAUGGAAUGAGCAUUCCAAUCAAUUUCCGGGCAUUCUUUCUGGUACUUGAAAUCUCCCGUUAAUGCCGGAAAAUGUUCCUCAUUAAAUAUGCAAUCAGCGUGACGGGCUGUGAACAGAUCCCCAGUCAGGGGUUCCAGGUACUUGAUAAUCGACGGUGAUUUGUACCCCACAUAGAUCCCCAACUUCCUGUGUGGUCCCAUAGAUGUCCACUGUGGUGGUGAGAUCGGGAUGUAUGCAGCACAUCCGAACUUACGCAGAUGGGAAAUGCUUGGAGGAUUUCCACGUACCAAUUCCAGAGGGGAAGAACUGUGAUAUGCAGUUGGCCUCAAUUGUAUCAAGUCAGCAGCGUGUAAAAUAGCGUGACCCCAACAAGAGGUUGGCAAAUUGCAAUUCGUCAACAAAGGUCUUGCAAUGAGUUUGAUCCUCUUAAUCAAUGCUUCAGCCAAACCAUUUUGUGUAUGGACAUAUGGAACAGAGUGCUGAACUUCAAUCCCCAAAGCCAUGCAAUAAUCAUUGAAAGCACGUGAGGAGAAUUCUGCAGCAUUGUCCAUUCGAAUUGACUUAAUUCGACUUUCAGGAUAAUGGGCUUGCAACUUAAUGACUUGCCUCAUUAUCUUGGCAAAUGCAUGGUUUCGUGUGGAUAGAAGACACACAUGUGACCAUCGUGUAGAUGCGUCAAUCAGAACCAUGAAAUACCGGAAAGGUCCAGAUAAUGGCUGAAUGGGACCACAAAUGUCUCCUUGAAUACGUUCAAGGAACUGAAGUGGUUUAGCUUGUAUUUUGAGGUGUGAGGGCCUCAAAAUUAGCUUUCCCGUGGCACAAGAUGUGCACACAAAAUCAGAAGAUUGAGGAAAUUUUGACUCAAGCAAAUUAUGACCAAUGGAAUUGCUAGUAAUUUUCCUCAUCAUCCCUAUUCCAGGAUGGCCUAGGCGAUCAUGCCAGGUUUGGAAUGCGUUAACAUUCUGAAAAAUUACUUUGUAUGCAACAUGUUCCAUGGGUUUGAUGUACGUAUAGUACAAACCAGACGAUAGAGAAGGAAUUUUCUCAUGUACCUUUUUGCCAUAUCCAUCAUCUUUAGUAAAGAGUAGGUACUCCUCUUUGUUGUCUUCAUGGGUUUCAAUAUGAAAACCAUUUUUAUAACUGAUCAGGGUACGUGCAGAAUCGGGAUACAGUAAAGCAUCCUCAAUUGUCACAUAUGUACCACUUGGGAGGGUGAAUAUGGCACGUCCAGUACCAACAGUCACAGUAUCGCGUCCAGUGAUAGUUAGAUUAUCUCCAUUUGUCUUUUUCAGAGUUUGGAAAUAUUUCAUCUCCCUCAGUAUGGAGUUUGUGGCACCACUGUCCACAAGGCAUAAUUCCUCUUUCAUCGGAUUACCCCUGUAGAAAACUAUAUAAAACAAAAGAAUUUUCAAUAAGAAAAACUCAUAGUAAUAUAUAGAAUACAAUCUUUAUUAUAUCAAAUGUGCUGAUACAAUACAAUAUAAAGACAACAAUAAACUUAUGUUCUUAUUACAAUCAUCACAAAUGGACAUAAUUAAGUAGAUCACUAAGGAGAUUGAGGGACUAGUCGAAGUCGCCAAACACGUUGUUUGCAGUGUACUCAAUCAACGUGUUCUCCAUUUCAGUAGUAGCCUCAGGCAGAUACGGAACCACGGCGUUGCUUGGUCCAGGAGGAACAUCGUGCGAACCACCAGCUCCUUUUGCGCUAUCCGGAUGAAGGUUGAAGUUGGCUUCAAACCUUUUCCCUUGAGGUGCUUUGCGUCCCUGUGAUUGCUGGUACAUCAUAACCAGAUGCUUGGGCAUUGUGCACUUUUCAGUAGAAUGCGUGUGGCAUCCACACUUGUUGCAAAGCUUAGAUUUAUCAAACCUGGGCUUUGAAGUGCCUUUUCCCUUGCCUGGGUAUCUAGAUCUCCUGUUCCCAUUACGCUUUCACUUAUGCUCGAAAUUGGUUUGUUUACCCCGAAAGGUACCAUUAAACUUUUGUCUAUUUGCAACAUUCAGAUGGACUUCAGGUAAAGGUUGUGCCCCAACUGGGCGCUGAGAGCCAUUCUUAGCGAGUAGCUCAUCAUGCUUUUCAGCCUGAAGUAACAUGUGAAUGAGCUCGGAAUAGACAGUGUAGUUACGAGCACGGUAUUGCUGUUGGAGGAUCCUAUCUGAAGGGAGCAUAGUAGACAAAGUUUUCUCUAUCUUCUCCCCCUCAGUAGGUUCCUUCUCACAAAAGCGCAGUUUGGAACAUAUCUUAUGAAUAGCAUGAUUGUACUCACCAAUGGAUUUGAAAUCCUGAAGACGAAGAUGAGUCCAAUCAUGAAGUGCUUCUGGCAGGACUAUUGCCUCGAGGGCCAGAAACAGAGUACUAGGAGAUUCCUCCUGUAAAUACUCAGACUUGAGAUCUGGAUGAAUAUGGUGCCUUAUGAUGAAUAAGGCAGCAUAAUUCUGCUGUUCUGUCAGCGGCGUGGGCCCAUCCGGGAGAGGAGUCUCUGGGGGUUGUAUUGCACGCGCUAUCCCACGGGACGCAAGACUGAUCUUGAUGUCCAUAGCCCAUGUAGGGUAAUUGUGGCCAUUGAGGGCAAGCUCCUCAAACUCUUUGGCAGUCAUCUUUGCCUACAUGAUGAACCAGAGAUAAUGAAUUUACGGGUGGUAAAUUAAAACCAUCAUGGUUCUGUAAUAAGAACGCAAAAAUUUGAUGCUCAAGUGUAAAACUUGAAAAAUUCUCAACCUCAAUUAUGUGAACAUAACACUUUGAAGAUCACUUAGAUCUCACAGUAUUAGGCUAUAUCGCCAUUACCUUGUGUAUGCUACAAUUCAGAUAUAAGGAAUACACGUUGGAGGUAAUCGUUUGUCGAGAAUGACAAAACGUAGACCUCACAGUAAGAGAGGAUAGUCUGCAAAUGAGCAGUAGAUCACAACUCAUUACCUUGUGAUUCCAAAUAAGAUGAGGGAGAAACAUUCAAAAAUUCGCAAGUUUGAUAUGCAAGAGAAGAUCUCAAUCGCAAAGACAUGUUCGAUAAAAGUGAGAUGUGGUAAACACAUGGAACAUGUCAUUCUUCCCAGAUGAAAUCUGGUACUUUAUUUAUAUUAUCAAUCCAUUACAUAAUAUAAACACACUAAUAAUUACACAAGUCCUAGUCAGAUUUAAUCUAGAACUGGACUAGUAUGUAAGUAGCAGUCAAACUAGGUACUAAACAGUACUAAACAGAGUCUAAAACUGCACCAUAUACAAUAAUUAGUACUAGACUAAUAAAAACAGAAAAAAAAACUUGAAGACCACCGCCGAUCGAGGCCAGCCCGCAGCCACCCACACCACAUAAGGCGAGAGGUGGGGCGGUUACGGAUAAGGCCCGACCCGCACACCACGCUCGAUCCCCCCCCCACCACCUGCGCUUGCUAGGAGCAGGGAGACCAGUCGCCGGUGAUUGGGGCGAGCGCCGGCGCCUCCCCUCGCAUCUUCAGGUGUCAGCGACGCGACACCGAUGAGGUCUCUUCAUCUGAAGAGGAGACGACGACGGUGGAGGCCUGGCGCAGUGGAGUAGCGGUGAAGCCGAGGUUCGCCGGAGCCCAUGAGCCUGGACGACGUCCGGGGCGGCGGUCGAGGGCUGCGACGGCUCGCCCGAAGAGGCGGCCGAAGCGCCGCUCCGCGCGGCUGCUCGAGCCCGCGGCUGUCUCCUGUUGAGACAUGCCAGCGGCGCGACGGCGCCCUCCAUGCCGACUCCAAGGCGGACGACUCCAGAGGCACCGGUCGGCGCGGAGAGGAAGGCGAGCGCCUCCUCCUCGUUCACGAUGGCGCGCAUCGGUACAGGGGCGUAGCCAGGCGGGCGGAGGCUCGGGCCAACGGCCACGACAUCAGGCGUCGGCGUUGACGGCGGGAUCCAUGCGGCCGGCGGAGGAGGUGGUGGAGGCGGAGACCCAGUGGGCAGGGCACACGCGUUAGCGGCCCCAUGCAUCAUGGGGGCGCUCGGGCCGGCCACCAGCCAAGGGUCGUACCCCAUGGACGCUUGGCCACGGGCGCGGGGAGCACCGCAGUGGGCGCGUCCGGGAGGACGGGGACCGUGUCCAGGGGCUUGGUGAGCACCGCGACGGGCGCAUCCAGCGGCGCGGUGGCUGCCAGGGGCGGCACGUCCAGCGGCGCUCCGGCCGAACCGUCGGAUGGCUUGCAUCCGGCGACGGAAACGGCGGUGGCCACCAACUCCAUGGCGGCGAAGGGUAAUGAGGCGGUAGCGGCGACCGUCCUCGCGGAUCAGACGGAGGAAGAAGGAGACGAGGCCUGUCAUCUCACCGGCGGCGAGUGCUUCCUCUCUUCUCCUUUCUCUGUUGCCUUUUUGCUCUCGCUGGUUGUUCUACGGGCUGAGAACGUGUUUUGAAUCAGAAUGAUCGAAUCCUUUCAACGAUGGUUACAUGUCCCCUUUUAUAUCUCCCGAAGAGACACGACGAUCCCUCGAGGAGGCGUCGGUUCCAGGAGAUCGAAGGGAGGCGUCGGUUGCGGGACAAACCGCAACGACGGUUUGGGCAAGGGGAGAUUUUCCCCUAAUUACAGAAUUAUUUUUAACAGAUUGGAGACCCUUAUUUGACGCUUGGUUUAAUAUUAUUGAAUAUUCAAAUGGAGACCCUUAUUUGACGCUUGGUUUGACUAAAUGGCGCUCCUUAUGGGUCGACCCCAUUGAGUGUCUCACACGGUUCGCCUUACCCAAUGAUAUCUAUUGUCUUUUCACGAUUUUCUCUUUGGUUUUAGGUUUCUAGCCGGUUCUAGUUAGUUUUCCGUGUCUAUUUUUCAAAAUGUAUUAUGAAAUAAAAUAACAAAUGAAAAGAAGAUGCUUGCACUCUAGAAACCUCCAUAUGUUUUACAUAUCAACUUUGGUGAAGUUUAAAGAUACGAAAACAGAUACAAACACUUGUAUAUGUAUGCAACUCGCCAACUAGCACUAAGUCAUAUGCAAAGACAUAUUAUUUUGUUUAUUAUUAUUUUACUCUCUAGUGACACUGGAGACAAUACCUAAAAAACAAAUAACAUGUUUUUGGUUUGCAACAAUAUUUUUCAAUUAGGCAUUUAUUUUUAGUACGGUACUUUUUUUUUCAUAUUUUCAUGCAUUUAUUAUAUUCUAAAUUUUAGUCUAACAAGAACUUAUAAUAGUUUAAAGCGCAUGUUGAGUGAUUGGGUCAUAAAAAGUAAAAAAUAAAAUAAAAUAAUGCAAAUACAUGAUAGCCGUUUGUUAAUUCACUAUCCGACGUGUUAUUUGAGAAACUCAGUCGAUUAGCAGGAAGUAGAGUAUCUAAAGCUAGUGGCGGGGUUAGUUAUAAAGUCUCAAGUCAUUACAUCUUCCCGUUACAUGCACAUGUAUGAUUUAAGACUUUAUAACUCUGCCAUUUAUAACUAACUCCACCACUAGCUUUAGAUACACUGCUUCAUUGUAAUCGACUGAGUUUGAUUUCAUCUUCAAUCAUAAUUUUAUAACUACCAAAAUACCACCUACAGGUUUUCUCCUCGCAUCUUUGCCAUAUCUAAAAAUUAUUCUUGCCUCCACCACUUUCUAAGCUGUCAUUGGUUUUCUAAAAACAAGCUUGGAUUUUUUUGUGAUUGGCAAUGUGUCCGGAGCGAUAACAGUCCAAGUUAUUAGCAGUGCACUGGUGUACAUGAUUCAGUAUUAUGCGAGUCUAACAAAAUAUGUUGAUGCAUAUGUGAAAUAUGUUUGUUGUGAUAUAAAAGUAUAGGCUAUCCAAAAUAUGAUAGCCGGGUCUCAGUUUGUAUUUCAACCAUGAAAGAUUUGAGUUUACUUUAGUAAUUUAAAAAUAAUCAAUAUAUUUUUCAGUGAAUUUAUGAUAUAUCCCAGUACUAUAAAUAACUAGGCAUACAUUUAAGAACUCAACACUCGACUUUGCAUUAAAAUGUUUAAAACCAUUACUUUCUCUAUUCUACUUUUAAGACCAACUAGACCCGGGGAGAAAACUCAAAUGUUUGAUUUUGUAUUAAAAUCAUAAUUUAGAUAUUUUUCUAGAUGAAAUGGAACAUCGUUGCUAUCAUGUAUGAUUGUCAUGGGGUUCAGGGUGCUCAAUCUUUUCAACAUUUUUUUGCUUGGUCUUACGCAUUGUUCUUUGUAAUCCUAUAGUUUGUGUCGGUGUAUUUAUUGAAUGCUUCAUUUGUUAAUCUUUAUCUGCACAAUUGGAAGCAAUGUGUUCUCAAUGUUUGUGUUUUGGCAUGGAUAUAGAUGGAGCUUACAGAUGAUGACCUUGAGAAGAUUACUUAUGAAGAUAAAAUUGGAGAUUUCAUAUAAAAUAAAUCAAGAUAGAAUAUGCUUUUCAAUGCAAUUUGAGGCCAGUUUGUGUUAAUUUUGAACACCACAUUUACUCAUUUUAAAUUGACAUUUGAUGUGCUGCUAAAUAAGAAAUAAUAUAUUGUAUGUAAUAUAAUUAAGUGAGAACAUGAUUUGGUUAUCACAUUCUCUAUUUUAGGGACUCAUUUUGCAUUUUGCACUUGAGUCUCAUAUAUGUGUAGUCUGGUAGCAAAUGGCAAACAUUCAAAAAAGAACAUGAAAUAGCAUGCAAAGCUUUGCAUCAAACAAUAUCGCCAAUAUCAUGCUUUGAUGAACUCCAUGCACAUAUAAAAACCGUAAAGAUGAGAUAACUUUAGUUUCAAUGGCGUUACUGAUUGCUUGUAUCUGCGUUGUUAUUCCCCCGACGAGGAGAGGAUGAUGCAGUACAACAAUGGUAAGUAUUUUCCUCAGUUAUGAAACCAAGGUUAUCAAUUCAGUAGGAGAACCAAGCAACACUAUGUAAAUGAUACCUACACACAAAUAACAAAUACUUGCAACCCAACACGUAAGAGGGGUUGUCAAUCCUCCUCGGCAUUGAGAUAGAUUAAAUUAUAUGAGAUUGAAUAAAUAGAUCUAGCGAAAACACUAAAUAAAAUAAAUAAAGAAAAAGUGCAACAAGGUAUUUUUUUGAGUUUUUGGAAUAAUAGAUCUAAAAACAAUAUGAUAAAAGAUAGAACCGGGGGCCGUAGAUUUCACUAGUGGCUUCUCUUGAGAAAAUAACAUAUGGUGGGUAAAUAAAUUACUGUUGGUCAAUUGAUAGAAGAGCAAAUAAUUAUGACGUCCAACAUUAGUAGACCGACUCCUGCCUGCGUCUACUACUAUUACUCCACACAUCGACCGCUAUCCAGCAUGCAUCUAGUGUAUUAAGUUCAUGGAGAAACGAAGUAAUGCAAUAAGAACGAUGACAUGAUGUAGACAAGAUCUAUUCAUGUAGGAACAGACCCCAUCUUUUUAUCCUUAAUAGAAAUGAUACAUGCGUGCCUCGCUACCCCUUCUGUCACUGGGUGAGGACACCGCAAGAUCGAACCCAUCACAAAGCACCUCUUCCCAUUGCAAGAAAAAAUAAUCUAGUUGGCCAAACCAAACCAAAGUUUCGGAGAAUAAAUACAAAGCUAUAACAAUCAUGAAUAUAAGAGAUCAAAGAAGACUCAAAUAAUAUUCAUAGUAGAAUUGAUCAUAAGCUCACAAUUCAUCGGAUCCCCAACAGACACACCGCAAAAAGUCAUUACACAUCAAUAGAUCUCCAAGAACAUCGAGGAGAACAUUGUAUUAAGAACCAAAAAGAGAGAAGAAGCCAUCUAGCUACUGCCUACAGACCCGUAGGUGUGAGCUAAACUACUCACGCAUCAUCGAAGGGACACCAAUGAGGAUGAUAAAACCUUUCGUGAUUGUGUUCCCCUUCGGCAAGGUGCCGGAAUAGGACUCUAGAUUGGAUCUUGUGGUUUUGGAACUUGUGGCAGCUAGAAUUUUGUUUUGUCGACUCUCCUAGGAUUUCUAGAAUAUUUGGGUAUUUAUAGAGCUAAGAGGCGGUGGAAAGGACUCCCGUGGGCCCCACUACCCACCUGGGCUCGCUAGGGGCCUCUGGUGUGCCCUGGUGUCUUGUGGGCCCCAUGGGCCUCCCCUCGUGCACUUCCAUGACUCCCAAGUUGUCUCCUGGGCAAAAAAACUCCAAAAAGUUUCACUACGUUUGGACUCCGUUUGAUAUGGAUAUUCUGCGAAAUAAAAAACAAGCUAAAAACAGCAACUGGCACUGGGCACUAUGUCGAUAGGUUAGUCCCCAAAAAUGAUAUAAAGUUGCUAUAAAAUGAAUAUAAAACAUCCAAGAAUGAUAAUAUAACAGCAUGGAACAAUUAAAAAUUAUAGAUACAUUGGAGACGUAACAUCAUCCCCAAGCUUAAUUCCUGCUCGUCCUUGAGUAGGUAAAUGAUAAAAACAGAAUUUUUGAUGUGGAGCGCUGCCUAACAUGUUCAUCACAUAUUCUUUUCUUUUGUAGCAUGGACAUUUAGAAUUUUAGAUGAUCAAAGCAAUAGUCUAUAUUUGACAUGAAUAUUUCAAUACUCAAGCAUAUCAACAAGCAAGCAUGUCUUUCAAAAUAUCAACACCAAAGAAAGUUAUCCCUAGCCCAUCAUGCUCGAUCAUUGAUCCAUUCAUGAAACACAACUGAAUAUUAGCUACAUCCAAUGCACAAGUAUGAUCAUAGUGCUCCCUAGUUGGUGCUUUAUAAGAGAAGAUGGAGACUCAAAUUAAAAAAAUUGCAUAAAGUAAAUAGAUACGCCCUUCGCAGAGGAAAGCAGAGAUUUGUAGAUGUGCCAUAGCUCAAGGCUUAAAUUGAGAGAUACAAUAUUUUGAGAGGCAUGCUUUUCCUGUCAACGAAAAUGACCGAGAAUUCCCAAUACUUUCCAUGCUAGAUACAUCAUAGGUGGUUCCCAAACGUAAAAUAAAGUUUAUUCCCUUUUCGACCAUUCUUUCACAAUCCAUGGCUCGUUAGCCAUAUCCACGGGUGCCUUCCAUACCAACACUUUCCAAGGAGUUUAUUAUUUGACAACAUAAAGUAUUUUUUUUAUUUCAGGAUUGGGCAUCCCUAUUACUACCACACUCUCGUGCAAUGACAAGUGAAUAAACACUCAUCUUGAGAAUAACACGUCUAGCAUGGAAAAAUAUUGGCCACCCACUGCCUCUUCAUGAGCGGUACGGGCACACAAAAAGGAAAUUCAUUUUGAAAAAUUAGAGUUGGCACAUACAAAUUACUUGGAACGACAAGGAAAUACCGCAUAUAGGUAGGUAUGGUGGACUCAUAUGGCACAACUUGGUUUAAGGAUUUUGGAUGCACAAUUAGUAUUCCCACUUAGUACAAGGAAAGGCUAGCAAAUAGAUUGAGAAGGAACCAACCAAAAAGCAAAAAUUCUUAUAAACGAGCAUUAAGCAUAACUAACACCAAAUAAUGCAACACAAGUCGGAUGUAAUUUCAUUACAUAACUAUUGAAUUUCGUGCUUGCAUAGGGAAUCACAAAUCUUAACACCAAUAUUCUUACUAAAGCAUAAUUAUCACCAACAUGACUCACAUAUUACUUUCAUCAUAUCCCAAAACCAUUACUAAGAAUCAAGUUUAUUUUUUCCAAUGAUCUUUCAUGAAAGUUUUUGUUAUAUCCCCUUGGAUAUCUAUCACUUUGGGACUAGAUCAAUAUAUUACCAUUGCUUUUAACAAGCUCUCAAAUAAAUAUAUGUGAAGACCAUGAGCAUAAAUUUUUUCAUAUCUCAAAAUAAUAUAAGUGAAGCAUGAGAGAAUUUAUUCAAAAAUUUACUAACUCUCAAAUUAAUCUAAGUGAAGCAUGGGAGUAUUUCUUCAAAAAUUAAAGCACCACCAUGCUCAAAAAGAUAUAAGUCAAGCACUAGAUCAAUUCCAUAGCUCAAAAAAUUUAAGUGAAGCACAUAGAGAAAUUCUAAGAAAGCUUAGCAUCAUUAUGGCUCUCUCAAAUAGGUGUGUCUAGCAAGGAUGAUUGCGAAAAACUAAAACUAAAAACAAGAAAAGACUCAUAUAAUACAAGACGCUCCAAGCAAAACUCAUGAUAUGUAAUGAAUAAAAAUAUAGCUCCAAGUAAAAUUACCGAUGGUUGUUAGAAGAAAGAGGGGAUGCCUUCUGGGGCAUCCCCAAGCUUUGUUGUAUGGUUCUCCUUGAAUAUUAACUUGGGGUGCCAUGGGCAUCCCCAAGCUUAGGCUCUUUUCACUCCUUAUUCCUUCGUCCAUCGAGAUCUCACCCAAAACUUGAAAACUUCAAUCACACAGAACUUAACAAAACCUUCGUGAGAUCCUUAGUAUAAGAAAACCAAUCUUUGCUUUAAGUAUUGUUGCAAACCCAUUCAUAUUUUGUUAUUGCAUUACACCUACUGUAUUCUAACUUUACCAUGGCUUAUACCCCCCCGAUACAAUCAAUAGAUUCAUCAAAAUAAGCACACAAUGCAACGAAAACAGAAUAUGUAAAAAGCGGAACAGUCUACAAAGACUCGAAUUUUACUCAUGCUUCUGUAACUCCAAAAAAUCUGAAAAAAUAGGACAACAUAGGAAAUUCAUAUAUCAACCUUGUGUAAAAAAUGAGAGUUUAUGGUCGCUCCAGUGAUUUUUAACAAUUCUUCUACUGAAUGUAGAAGUUUCUGUUAUUCAACAAGAUCAAAUCAACUAUCACCCAAAGCCAUCCUAAAGGCAUUACUUGGCACAAACACUAACUAAAUCAUAAAAACACAAUCAUAACAGAGGCAUAAUUGUGUGAACAUACAAAAACAUAAAGAAAAAGAGAAAUAAAAAAUCUAUUUUAUUUAUUGGGUUGCCUCCCAAUAAGUGCUAUCGUUUUAUGCCCCUAGCUAGGCAUAAUGCAUAGAUUCAAGUAUUGCCAUAUUUAGUUUUUGCUCGACAGAAAUCCCUCAUGAUCGAUUCAUAUGGUGGCUUAAUUCUUGUUCUAGUGAAUUUUUCCAUAACCGUUCUUAGUGGAAAUUGAAAUUUAAUAUUCCCUUCUUUCAUAUCAAUCACGUCACCUAUAGUUCGUAAAAAAGGUCAACCAAGUAUUAUAGGACAAGACGGAUUGCAAUCAAUAUCAAGAACAAUAAAAUCUACGGGCACAUAGUUCCUAUUUGCAAGAAUAAGAACAUCAUUAAUUCUUCCCAAAGUUUUUUUAUAGUAGAAUACGCCAAGUGCAAAUUAAGAGAACAUUCUUCAAUAUUGGUAAGACCAAGCACAUCACAUUGAGAUUUCAAAAUUGUGGAAACACUAGCACCUAAGUCACAUAAAGCAAAGCACUCAUAAUUUUUGAUCUUGACUUUAAUGGUAGGUUACCAUUCAUCAUAUAAAUUUCUAGAAAUUUAAAUCUCUAAUUCUAACUUUUCUUCUCACCAUCGCUUCUAUAAUAUGUUUAGUAAAAGCUUUAUUUUGUUCAUAUGCAUUGGGUAAAUUUAACAUGGAUUGCAACAAAGAAAUACAUUAAAUCAAGGAGAAACUAUCAUAAUUAAAAUCUUUGUAAUCCCAAAGGGUAGGCACAUCACUAGUUAAAUUUUGACCUCUCCAAACCCACUUUUAUCAAUUUUCUCAAUAAGAUUUUCACUCUUUGAAUUAUGGGGACGCCUUCUAGCUAAAGUUGACUCUUCUUCAGUUCCUUUAUCACCAAGUUUAAUAUUACUAAACAAGGAAUCAAUAGAAAAACACCAAUCAUCUUAAGAUCUUCAUCAUUAUGGUGAAAGCAAUCGGUAGAAAACACUCUUUAUAGAAAUUCUCUUUUAGCUGUAAGCAUAGUAGUUCUUUUCUUACUUUCAUCCAUGGAAACAUAUAAAGCUUUAAUUGAUUCAUUGACAUCAACUUUGGGUGGAAAAUUUAAUCUUGAGAUUUUCUACAUCGUGUGAAAUUCUAUCAAUGCUUCUAGACAUAUCAUCAAGGUUACUCAAUUUUUCUUCUAACAUAGUUCUGAAAACUUUUUGAGCAUCGAUACAUUCUUUAAUAUUACUCUCAAGAUCAGAGAGGUUCCUAUUAUUAUUGUAAGAAGAAUUACCAUAGGAAUUGCCAUAAUUAUUAGAGGAAUUUCUAGGAAAAAGGCCUAGGAUUAAAAUUACCUCUAUAAGCAUUGUUAUUCACACUACUAGGGAAAAGCUUAUAGGCAGACACUUACUAGUAGCGCGGGUUUAUAACCCUCGCUACGGCUACUUACUAGUAGCGCAGGUUUUUACCCCUCGCUACUGCUAAGUUGAUAGUAGUAGCACGGAUUUUUAACCCUCGCUACUACUAAGCGGUCUCUACCGUGCCCUCCUGGGACAUGCCAUAGUAGUAGCGAGGGGUAUAAACCCGCGCUACUACUAAGUUCAUAGUAGUAGCGCAGGUUUAUACCCCUUGCUACUACUAAGUACGAGGUAGGUGAAGUCCCCAUAUCCUCGGACGAAUCCCUCCUCUCCCCUCACUCUUCCCCCUCUCUCCAUAGGCUCUCCGGUGGUGAGGUGCUCCUGCCCAAGCACAUCUCCUCCUCCAUGGCGCCAAAUGAGUCCGCCUCCUCGCGUCACCGGCGUCGAGGAGCUCGCCUGUCUUCCCCCUCGCCUCCUUGCGACCUCGACAGAGCACCUCACCACCAGUACUAGCCCCGAUGCGCCCUCCUUCUCCUUCCUUUCUCCCUUGUUUCUCUUUUUUCCUCUCCCUCUCCCUUUGACUUUACUCACCUCCUAUGCCCAUGCCUGCGCAGGUCAUCGACAUGGCCAACCAACAGCUCUCCGCCUUAGCCGCGAAGAGGAUCCUCGCAUCGUCGUCUUGCUCUACACUGGAUCCGGUCUCUCUUCAACAGCCGUCGUCGAAUCUGGUCUGCCGCUACCCGUCUGCACCUCCGGCGACCCCUGGCGUCGCUGGAUCGAACCAUUGACACCAUUAACAGCAUGCACGGGGUCAAGAUUUUUUUUGUUUUUGAAAUUAAUAGUAGUAGCACGGGUCAUAGACACGCGCUACUACUAACACACGUACUAGUAGCGCGGGAUGCACCGCGCUACUACUACCAGUUAGCUGUAGCGCCAUAUCAGUAGCGCGGGCACCCAUGCUACAAAUACCCCCAAAACCCGCGCUACUACUAGGCUUUUCCCUAGUAGUGUCAAGUUGUUUUGUGAGACAAAAUUCACAUCUAUGGGAUCACUAUUUUGCUCAAUCAAAAUAGACAAAGGCACAUCAUUAAGAUCAAUAGGAGCAUAUUUACUAGCAACCAAUUUCAUAAGUGCAUCAACUUUUUCACUCAAAGUAUUAGUUUCUUCAACCGAAUUAACCUUUUUACUAGUAAGUGCUCUUUCAGUAUGCCAUUGUGAAUAAUUUGCCACAAUAUUAUCAAGCAAUUUGGUAGCUUCACCCAAAUUAACUUCCAUAAUAUUACUACACGUGGCGGAACCUAAAAGAUUUCUAGAAACAAAGUUCAUUCCCGCAUAUUUUUUUUAUAAUCAUCCAUAGAUUUAAACCAUGACUAGGACACUUUCUUAGCAUCGAUUUCAUUCUUUCCCAAGAUUGUGCAACAUGUUCAUGUUCAAGUUGCUUAAAAUUCAUUUUUUGAUUUCUAAGGGAAAUAAUUUCACGGGCAAAAAAAUACUUAAUAAUAAAAGCAUCUUUGCACUUAUCCCAAGAAUCGAUACUAUUGCGAGGCAAAGAAGAAAACCAAUUUUUGCACGAUCUUGCAAAGAGAAAGGAAACAAUUUUAAUUUGACAAUAUCAUUGUCCACAUAUUUUUUGUUUUGCAUAUCACACAAUUCUACAAAAGUGUUUAGAUGGGACGCUGCAGUUUCAUUAGGAGUAUCGGAAAAUUGCUCUUUCGUAACAAGAUUCAACAAAGCAGCAUUAAUAUGAUAAGACUCUGCACUAGCGGCAGGAGGAGCAAUCAAAGUACUAAUAAAAUCAUUAUUAUUAGUAUUGAAAAAAUCACAAAAUUUGGUAUUUUCUUGAGACAUCAUGAGUACGCAAACAAUAUCACAUGCAGACAAAAGAUCGAACGAGAAAAAGGCGAACGAAAAAGAAGGCAAAUAUAUUUGUGCUUUUUGAAAAAAUGUUUUAGAAGUGGGGGAAAUGAAAACGAGAGGCAAAUGGCAGAUAAUGUAAAUUGCAAGGAGAUGAGAUUUGUGAUUAGGAACCUGAUAGAUGUUAUGUCUCCCCGACGACGGCGCCAGAAAUUCUUUCCUGAUUGCUUGUAUCUGUGUUAGUAUUUUACCGAAGUGGAGAGGAUGACGCAACACAACAACGGUAAGUAUUUCCCUGAGUUAUGAAACCAAGUUUAUCAAUCCAGUACGAGAACCAAGCAACACUAUGUAAGCGGUACCUACACACAAAUAACAAAUACUUGCAACCCAAUGAUACGUCUCCAACGUAUCUAGUAUCUAUAAUUUUUGAUUGUUCCAUGCUAUUAUAUUAUCUGUUUUGGAUGUUUAAUGGGCUUUAAUAUGCUCUUUUAUAUUAUUUUUGGGACUAACCUAUUAACCGGAGGCCCAGUGCCAGUUUCUGUUUUUUUGCCUAUUUUAGAGUUUUGCAGAAAAUGAAUACCAAACGGAGUCCAAACGGAAUGAAACCUUCGCGAGGAUCUUUCUUGGACCGAAAGCAAACUAGAAGACUUGGUGUUGAAGUCAGAGACACAAUGAGGUGUCCACAAGGCAGGAGGGCGUGCCGGGGGGGGGGGGUAGGCGCGCCCCCACCCUCAUGGGCCCCUCGUAGCUCCACCGACCUAGUUCUUUCGCCUAUAUAUACUCUCAUACCCUAAAUACAUCAGAGGGAGCCACGAAACCACUUUUCCACCGCCACAACCUUUUGUACCUGUGAGAUCCCAUCUUGGGGCCUUUUCUGGCGAUCUGCCGGAGGGGGAAUCGAUCACAGAGGGCUUCUACAUCAACACCAUUGCCUCUCCGAUGAAGCAUGAGUAGUUUACCAUAGACCUUCAGGUCCAUAGUUAUUAGCUAGAUGGCUUCUUCUCUCUCUUUGAUUCUCAAUACAAAGUUCUCCUCGAUGUUCUUGGAGAUCUAUUCAAUGUAAUGCUAUUUUGCGGUGUGUUUGCCGAGAUCCGAUGAAUUGUUGAUUUAUGAUCAAGAUUAUCUAUGCAUAUUAUUUGGUUCUUCUCUGAAUUCUUAUAUGCAUGAUUUGAUAUCUUUGCAAGUCUAUUCGAAUUAUCGGUUUCGUUUGGCCAACUAGAUUGAUCUUUCUUGCAAUGGGAGAAGCGCUUAGCUUUGGGUUCAAUCUUGCGUUGUCCUUUCCCAGUGACAGUAGGGGCAGGAAGGCACGUAUUGCAUUAUUGCCAUCUAGGAUAAAAAGAUGGGGUUUAUAUCAUAUUUCUUGAGCUUAUCCCUCUACAUCAUGUCAUCUUGCUUAAUGCGUUACUCUGUUCUUAUGAACUUAAUACUCUAGAUGCAUGCUGGAUAGCGGUUGAUGUGUGGAGUAAUAGUAGUAGAUGCAGGCAGGAGUCGAUCUACUUGACACAGAUGUGAUGCCCAUGUUCAAGAUCAUUGCCUUAGAUGUCAUCAUAAUUAUGCGUUUUCUAUCAAUUUCUCGGUAGUAAUUUGUUCACUCACCGUAAUACAUGCUAGCUACCUCGAGAGAAGCCACUAGUGAAACCUAUGGCCCCAGGGUCUCUUUUCCAUUAUAUUAAAGUCUGUUUUCCAUAUUGUUGAAUCUCGUUUACUAUUUUGCAAUCUUUACUUUCCAAUCUAUACAUCAAAAAUACCAAAAAUAUUUACUUUAUUAUCUCUAUUAGAUCUCACUUUUGUGAGUGACCGUGAAGGGAUUUACAACCCCUUUAUCGCAUUGGUUGCAAGUUCUUAAUUUUUUGUGCAGGUAUUCGGUGACUUGUGCGUCGUCUCCUACUAGAUUGAUACCUUGGUUCUCAAGACUAAGGCAAAUACUUACGCUACUUUGCUGCAUCACCCUUUCCUCUUCAAGGGAAAAACCAACGUAAGCUCAAGAGGUAGCACCCAACACGCAAGAGGGGUUGUCAAUCCCUCCUCGGUAUUGAAAUAGAUUAUAAUGUAUGAGAUUGGAUAAAUAGAUCUAGCGGAAACAUAAAAUAAAAUAAAUAAAGAAAAAGUACAACAAGGUAUUUUGGGUUUUUUGGAGUAAUAGAUCUGAAAACAAUAUGGUAAAAUAUAGACGCGGGGGUCGUAGAUUUCACUAGUGGCUUCUCUCGAGAAAAUAGCAUACGGUGGGUAAAUAAAUUACUGUUGGGCAAUUGAUAGAAGAGAAAAUAAUUAUGACGAUAUCCAAGUCAACGAUCAUGUAUAUAGGCAUCACGUCCAAGAUUAGUAGACCGACUCCUGCCUGCAUUUACUACUAUUACUCCACACAUCGACCGCUAUCCAGCAUGCAUCUAGUGUAUUAAGUUCAUGGAGAAACGGAGUAAUGCAAUAAGAAUGAUGACAUGAUGUAGACAAGAUCUAUUCAUGUAGGAAUAGACCCCAUCAAUUUAUCCUUAAUAGGAACGAUACAUGCGUGCCUUGCUACCCCUUCUAUCACUGGGUGAGGACACCGCAAGAUAAAAUCCAUCACAAAGCACCUCUUCCCAUUGCAAGAAAAAUCAAUCUUGUUGGCCAAACCAAACCAAAGUUUUGGAGAAGAAAUACGAGGCUAUAAAAAUCAUGCAUAUAAGAGAUCAAAUAAGAUUCAAAUAAUAUUUCAUAGAUAGAACUGAUCAUAAUAUUCUCAACGGCACACCGAAAGAUCUUCUAGUAAAAAAGUUCAUGCGAUUGAAGAAAUUAAUGUUUUGAGUGGAAAUAUGGAUGAACUCAUGAAAUUGUUUGCUAAUAAAAGUGUUUCUUCUGAUCCUAAUGAUAUGCCUUUGUCUGCUUUGAUUGAGAAUAAUAAUGAAUCUAUGGAUGUGAAUUUUGUUGGUAGGAACAAUUUUGGUAACAACGCGUAUAGAGGAAACUUUAAUCCUAGGCCGUUACCUAGUAAUUCUUACAACAACUCUUAUGGAAAUUUUAAUAAGAUGCCCUUUGAUUUUGAGAAUAGUGUUAAAGAAUUUAUGAGUUUGCAAAAGAAUUUCAAUGCUUUGAUUGAAGAAAAAUUGCUUAAGAUUGAUGAGUUGGCUAGGAACGUGGAUAGAAUUUCUCUUGAUGUUGAUGCUUUGAAACUUAGAUCUAUUCCACCUAAGCAUGAUAUCAAUGAAUCUCUCAAAGCCAUGAUAAUUUCCAUUGCUGAGUGCAAAGAAAUAAUCGCUAGGAUGCAUGCUAAAAAAGCUUGGUUUGUGAAAGCGUGUUCUUCUAGUUUUCAUGAUAAUAAUGAUGAAGAUCUAAAAUUGAUUGAUGCGACUCCUAUUAAAUAUUUGUUUUCCAAUAUGAAUCUUGAUAAAUAUGGGACGGGAGAUGAGUCAACUUUAGUUAAAAGGCGUCCCAAUGAUUCAGAGUUUUUAGAUCUAGAUGCAAAAAUUGAUAAAAGUGGAAUUGAAGAGGUCAAAACUUUAAAUAGCAAUGAAUCCACUAUUUUGGAUUUCAAGGGAUUUAAUUAUGACAAUUGUUCUUUAAUAGAUUGUAUUUCCUUGUUGCAAUCCGUGCUAAAUUCUACUCAUGCUUAUAAUCGAAAUAAAGCUUUCACUAAACAUAUCGUUGAUGCUUUGAUGCAAUCUUAUGAAGAAAAAAUUGAACUAGAAGUUUCUAUCCCUAGAAAACUUUAUGAUGAGUGGGAACCUACUAUUAAGAUUAAGAUUAAAGAUUAUGAAUGUUAUUCUUUGUGUGAUUUGGGUGCUAGUGUUUCUACGAUUCCAAAAACUUUGUGUGAUGUGCUAGGUUUCCGUGAAUUUGAUGAUUGUUCUUUAAAUUUGCAUCUUGCGGAUUCCACCAUUAAGAAACCUAUGGGAAGGAUCAAUGAUGUUCUUAUUGUUGCAAAUAGGAAUUAUGUGCCCGUAGAUUUCAUUAUUCUUGAUAUAGAUUGCAAUCCUACAUGUCCUAUUAUUCUUGGUAGACCUUUCCUUAGAACGAUUAGUGCAAUUAUUGAUAUGAAAGAAGGCAACAUUAGAUUCCAAUUUCUGUUAAGGAAGGGCAUGAAACACUUUCCUAGGAAGAAAAUUAAAUUGCCUUAUGAAUCUAUUAUGAGAGCCACUUAUGGAUGGCAUACCAAAGAUGGCAAUACCUAGAUCUAUUCGUGUUUUUAUGCCUAGCUAGGGGCGUUAAACGAUAGCGCUUGUUGGGAGGCAACCCAAUUUUAUUUUUGUUCUUUGAUUUUUGCUCCUGUUGUGACGCCCGGAUAAUCAUGCUACAGUAAUCCCACGCUAAUCAUUCCACAUCACCUCGGUUACUGUUGCUAACCUCGCAAUGAUUCGAAACUGUUUCAAAAUUUAAAUUCUAAAUAUGUCAAACAACAAACGUUUUCAAAGUUGAAACAAAAAUGUUCGGUGGUUGCCGAAUAUUACAAGGGUAAUUAUAAUAAAGAAAGCAUAUUUUUUGAAAGUGCCUGAAUAUUUUAAAAUGAAUUAAAACAGAAAAGAGAAAUAAUAAAAGAAAAUGCAAAACAGAAAACAAAAUAUAAAAAAAAGGAAGAACUUCCCCCCCACUGGGCCACGACCCAGCUAACCGGCCCAAUUUCCCCCUGGCCUAUAACCACCCCACCCCCGUAACCUAACCCUAACCGGUCCAUUCCCCCCCCCGAUCCACCUCUCCUCUUCCCCCCCCGAUCUGGAUCAGGAUUGGCCUCGAUCCCGCCACCCCGUCGCCCGAACCCCCACCGACGCCGUGCCGCCNNNNNNNNNNNNNNNNNNNNNNNNNNNNNNNNNNNNNNNNNNNNNNNNNNNNNNNNNNNNNNNNNNNNNNNNNNNNNNNNNNNNNNNNNNNNNNNNNNNNNNNNNNNNNNNNNNNNNNNNNNNNNNNNNNNNNNNNNNNNNNNNNNNNNNNNNNNNNNNNNNNNNNNNNNNNNNNNNNNNNNNNNNNNNNNNNNNNNNNNNNNNNNNNNNNNNNNNNNNNNNNNNNNNNNNNNNNNNNNNNNNNNNNNNNNNNNNNNNNNNNNNNNNNNNNNNNNNNNNNNNNNNNNNNNNNNNNNNNNNNNNNNNNNNNNNNNNNNNNNNNNNNNNNNNNNNNNNNNNNNNNNNNNNNNNNNNNNNNNNNNNNNNNNNNNNNNNNNNNNNNNNNNNNNNNNNNNNNNNNNNNNNNNNNNNNNNNNNNNNNNNNNNNNNNNNNNNNNNNNNNNNNNNNNNNNNNNNNNNNNNNNNNNNNNNNNNNNNNNNNNNNNNNNNNNNNNNNNNNNNNNNNNNNNNNNNNNNNNNNNNNNNNNNNNNNNNNNNNNNNNNNNNNNNNNNNNNNNNNNNNNNNNNNNNNNNNNNNNNNNNNNNNNNNNNNNNNNCUCGCCGGAUCUCCCUCGUCGGAAUUCCCCGAACUCCAUCGAGCCCGCUGCCCGGACCCUACUCCCCGCAGUGAGCACCCCCGUGCCCCUCCUCUCUCUCCCUCGCCCGGCCGCGUCCCCGCCUGGCCUCACGGCGCCGUACCACGCCGGCCGCCCCGAGCCCUCGACGCCUCCGCCCGCGCCUGCCCCGUCCGGCCUCAAGACGCGCCCCGCCCGCGCUCACCGUGGCCUCGCCCCGCACCGUUGCCUCACUCCCGCACCGGUUCCCUCUCCCCUCUGUCCCCGCGCGAGCACCACCGCUCCUCGCUCGCCCCGUCGACGGCGCCCUCGCCUCCGUCCCCCUGCUCCCCCGACAGCGCCGGCCCCGAGCGCUCCUCCCCGCGGUCGCCUCUCCACAGGCCACGGCCGGCGCGCCCCGCUCCGGCCAUGACCUCGCCGUGGUCACCGCUUCCCAGAUCCGGCCCCUGCCCCGAGCGCUCCUCCCCGCGGUCGCCUCUCCACAGGCCACGGCCGGCGCGCCCCGCUCCGGCCAUGACCUCGCCGUGGUCACCGCUUCCCAGAUCCGGCCCCUGCCGGGUCCACCCAUCUGGGCUGCGCUCGUUAACCCAUUAGCCCACACCCGCUUUUGGCCCUUGUGAGCCUAUGACAGGGGGCCCCACGCCCAGAACGUUUUUUAUAAAAAAAAAGAAAAGGAAAAAAAUAACAAUAAUAAAAAUAUUAAUUAAUUAAUUAAUUAAAGAAUUAAUUAACUUAAUUAAUCUAGUUAAUUAAACCUAAUUAACCUGCUAAUAGAUCUAACUACUGUCAAUUUGGAUAACAGUCUAUGACAUGCGGGACCCACCCAUUAGUUGACUGGUCAAUGGUCAACUUUGACCGCUCGCAUCAUGCUGAUGUCAUGAUGACGUCAUAAAUGCCUUUUUGAUUUAAUUAAUUCUGUUAAUCCUAAAAUGAUUUAAAUCUUUUAAAAUUAAUAUAAAAUAGACCGUAGCACGAAUGAUAAAACUUUGUACAUAAAAUUUGCUCAGAACGAUGAGACGGAUCCGGAUACACGGCCCGUUCAUCCGCCACGCGUCCCUAACAUAGUGAACCUGCAACAUUUCACCUCCGGUUCAUCUGUCCGAAAACACGGAACACCGGGAAUACUUUCCCGGAUGUUUUCCCCCUUCGUCGGUAUCACCUACUACCGCAAUUGGGCACACCUAGCAUCGUUACUUGACAUGUCAUGCAUCGAUAUGCAUCUGUUUACUUGGUAUUCAUUGUUUCUUCCCCCUCUUCUCUCCGGUAGACUACGAGACCGACGCUGCUGCUGCCCAGUUCGACUACGGAGUUGAGGACCCCUAUCUCUUGCCAGAGCAACCAGGCAAGCCCCCCCUUGAUCACCAGAUAUCGCCUAUUCUCUUCUUUACUGCUUGCAUAAGAGUAGUGUAGCCUGUUACUACUUUCCGUUGAUCCUAUUCUGAUGCAUAGCCUGACAUUGUUGCUACAUCUGUUGAUACCUUACCUGCAAUCCUAAAUGCUUAGUAUAGGAUGCUAGUUUAUCAUCAUUGACCCUACAUUCUUGUCAGUCUGCCUUGCUAUACUAUUGGGCCGUGAUCACUCGGGAGGUGAUCACGGGUAUAUGCUAUACAACAUACUAUACAGAUGGUGACUAAAGUCGGGUCAGCUCGAAGAGUACCCGCGAGUGAUUCACGGAUUGGGGGCUGAAAGGACCUUUGUCCCGACGGCCCUCUGUGUGGAUCUUUGUGGCGGAGCGACAGGGCAGGUUGAGACCGCCUAGGAGAGAGGUGGGCCUGGCCCUGUUCGGCGUUCGCGGAUACUUAACACGCUUAACGAGAUCUUGGUAUUUGAUCUGAGUUGGCUACGAGCCUAUACGCACUAACCAUCUACGUGGGAGUAGUUAUGGGUAUCCCGACGUCGUGGUAUCAGCCGAAGCACUUCGUGACGUCAGCGACUGAGCGGCGCGCGCCGGGUUGGACUGCGUUAACGCAACUUCCUUUGUAAUGGAGGUUGCUAGGUCUGCUCACCGGCCGCGUACGCAACGUGCAGGUGUGCUCAGGGCGAUGGGCCCAGACCCCUGCGCGCUUAGGUUUAGACCGGCGUGCUGGCCUCUCCGUUGAGCCUAGGUGGGGCUGCGACGUGUUGAUCUUCCGUGGCCGGGCAUGACCCAGGAAAGUGUGUCCGGCCAAAUGGGAUCAAGCGUGUUGGGUUAUGUGGUGCACCCCUGCAGGGAAGUUAAUCUAUUCGAAUAGCCGUGAUCUUCGGUAACAGGACGACUUGGAGUUGUACCUUGACCUUAUGACAACUAGAACCGGAUACUUAAUAAAACACACCCUUCCAAGUGCCAGAUACAACCGGUGGUCGCUCUCCCUCAGGGAUAUGAGGAGGGGAUCGCCGGGUAGGAUUAUGCUAUGCGAUGCUAUUGGAGAUGCUACUUGGAGAUGCUACUUGGAGAUGCUACUUGGAGGACUUCAAUCUACUCUCUUCUACGUGCUGCGAGACGGAGGCUGCCAGAAGCGUAGUCUUCGAUAGGACUAGCUAUCCCCCUUUUUAUUCUGGCAUUCUGCAGUUCAGUCCACCGAUAUGGCCUCCUUACACAGAUACCCAUGCAUAUGUAGUGUAGUUCCUUGCUUGCGAGUACUUUGGAUGAGUACUCACGGUUGCUUUCUCCCCCCUUUUCCCCCCUUUCCUUUCUUUCUGGUUGUCGCAACCAGAUGCUGGAGUCCAGGAGCCAGACGCCACCGUCGACGACGACCCCUACUACACUGGAGGUGCCUACUACUACGUGCUGCCCGCUGAUGACGACGUGGAGUAGUUUAGGAGGAUCCCAGGCAGGAGGCCUGCGCCUCUUUCGAUCUGUAUCCCAGUUUGUGCUAGCCUUCUUAAGGCAAACUUGUUUAACUUAUGUCUGUACUCAGAUAUUGUUGCUUCCGCUAACUCAUCUAUGAUCGAGCACUUGUAUUCGAGCCCUCGAGGCCCCUGGCUUGUAUUAUGAUGCUUGUAAGACUUAUUUAUGUUUUAGAGUUGUGUUGUGAUAUCUUCCCGUGAGUCCCUGAUCUUGACCGUACACGUUUGCGUGCAUGAUUAGUGUACAAUUAAAUCGGGGGCGUCACACCUAUUUAGUAAUAAAUAAUUCAUCUAGCUUCUGUUUAGAUGUGGUUUAUGUUUUAAUUAGUGUUUGUGCCAAGUAGAACCUUUGGGAAGACUUGGGUGAAGUCUUUGCGAUCUUGCUGUAAAAAACAGAAACUUUUGCACUCAUGAGAAUAGCUGUCAUUUUUCUACAGAAGAGUGCUUUUAGGUUGAUUCUUUUUGAAGAUGAUUAAUAGACAAAUUCCUCACGUGCAGAAAUUUAUUUCAGAAUUUUUAUAGUUACAUAAGUAUUCGAAAGUUAUAGAUUGCUACAGACUGUUCUGUUUUUGACAGAUUCUGUUUUUCGUGUGUUGUUUGCUUAUUUUAAUGAAUCUAUGAGUAGUAUCAGGGGGUAUGAACCAUAGAGAAGUUGGAAUACAGUAGGUUUAACACCAAUAUAAAUAAAUAAUGAGUUCAUCACAGUACCUUAAAGUGGCGGUUUAUUUUCUUAUACUAACGGAGCUCAUGAGAUUUUCUGUUGAAGUUUUUGUUGGAAAUAUGCCCUAGAGGCAAUAAUAAAAGGAUUAUUAUUAUAUUUCUUUGUUCAUGAUAGUUCUCUUUCAUUCAUGCUAUAAUUGUAUUAUUUGGAAAUCGUAAUACACGUGUGAAUACUUAGACCACAACAUGUCCCUAGUGAGCCUCUAGUUGACUAGCUCGUUGAUUACCAAAUAGUCAUGGUUUCCUGACUAUGGACAUUGGAUGUCGUUGAUAAUGGGAUCACAUCAUUAGGAGAAUGAUGUGAUGGACAAGACCCAAUCCUAAGCAUAGCACAAGAUCGUGUAGUUCGUUUUGCUAGAGCUUUUCCAAUGUCAAGUAUCUCUUCCUUAGACCAUGAGAUCGUGUAACUCCCGGAUACCGUAGAAGUGCUUUGGGUGUACCAAACGUCACAACGUAACUGGGUGACUAUAAAGGUGCAGUACAGGUAUCUUCGAAAGUGUCUGUUGGGUUGACACGGAUCGAGACAGGGAUUUGUCACUCCGUAUUACGGAGAGGUAUCAAUGGGCCCACUCGGUAGUGCAUCAUUAUAAUGAGCUCAAAGUGACCAAGUGUCUGGUCACGGGAUCAUGCAUUACGGUACGAGUAAAGUGACUUGCCGCCAACGAGAUUGAACAAGGUAUUGGGAUACCGACGAUCGAAUCUCAGGCAAGUAACAUACCGUCUGACAAAGGGAAUAGUAUACGGGGUUGCUUGAAUCCUUGACAUUGUGGUUCAUCCGAUGAGAUCAUCGAGGAGUAUGUGGGAGACAACAUGGGUAUCCAGAUCCCGCUGUUGGUUAUUGAUCGGAGAGCCGUCUCGGUCAUGUCUACAUGUCUCCCGAACCCGUAGGGUCUACACACUUAAGGUUCGGUGACGCUAGGGUUGUAUGAAUAUGAGUUGCAGCAAACCGAAUGUUGUUCGGAGUCCCGGAUGAGAUCCCGGACGUCACGAGGAGUUCCGGAAUGGUCCGGAGGUAAAGAAUUAUAUAUAGGAAGUGCUGUUUCGGCCAUCGGGAAAGUUUCGGGGUCACCCGGUAUUGUACCGGGACCACCGGAAGGGUCCCGGGGGUCCACUGGGUGGGGCCACCUAUCCCGGAGGGCCCCGUGGGCUGAAGUGGGAGGGGAACCAGCCCCUAGUGGGCUGGUGCGCCCCCCUUGGGCCCCUCCUGCGCCUAGGGUUGGAAACCCUAGGGUGCGGGGGCACACCACUUGCCUUGGGGGGCACUCCACCCCCCUGGCCGCCGCCCCCUUGGGAGAUUCCCAUCUCCAGGGAUGGCGCCCCCCAGGGGGCCUAUAUAAAGGAGGGGGGAAGGGAGGUCAGCCACACCCUGAGUCUUGGCGCCUCCCUCCCCCUGCUACACCUCUUCCUCCUCCCGCAGUUGCUUGGCGAAGCCCUGCCGGAGUCCUGCUGCAUCCACCACCACGCCGUCGUGCUGCUGGAUCUUCAUCAACCUCUCCUUCCCCCUUGCUGGAUCAAGACGGAGGAGACGUCACGCUGACCGUACGUGUGUUGAACGUGGAGGUGCCGUCCGUUCGGCGCUAGGAUCUCCGGUGAUAGGAUCACGACGAGAACGACUACCUCAACCCUGUUCUCUUGAACGCUUCCGCAUGCGAUCUACAAGUGGUAUGUAGAUGCAUCUCUCUCUCUCAUUGCUAGAUGAACUCAUAGAUGGAUCUUGGUGAACGUACGAAAAGUUUUAUUUUAUGUAACGUUCCCCAACAGUGGUAUCAGAGCUAGGUCUAUGCGUAGUUCUCUAUUGCACGAGUAGAACACAAAUCUGUUGUGGGCGUAGAUCUUGUCAACUUGCUUGCCAAUACUAGUAUUUUCUUGCUUCAGCGGUAUUGUAGGAUGAAGCGGCCCGGACCGACCUUACACGUACGCUUACGUGAGACAGGUUCCACCGACUGACAUGCACUAGUUGCAUAAGGUGGCUAGUGGGUGUCUGUCUCUCCUACUUUAGUUGGAGCGGAUUCGAUGAAAAGGGUCCUUAUGAAGGGUAAAUAGAAGUUGAAAAAAAUCACGUUGUGGUUAUUCGUAGGUAAGAAAACGCUCUUGCUAGAACCCAAUUGCAGCCACGUAAAAGAUGCAACAACAAUUAGAGGACGUCUAACUUGUUUUGCAGCAAUUGUCAUGUGAUGUGAUAUGGCCAGAAGUUGUGAUGAAUGAUGAAUGAUAUAUUGUGAUGUAUGAGAUCAUGUUCUUGUAAUAGGAAUCACGACUUGCAUGUCGAUGAGUAUGACAACCGGCAGGAGCCAUAGGAGUUGUCUUAAUUAUUGUAUGACCUGCGUGUCAAUGAUUUAACGCCAUGUAAUUACUUUACUUUAUUGCUAAACCGUUAGCUAUAGUGGUAGAAGUAAUAGUUGGCGAGCAACUUCAUGGAGGCACGAUGAUGGAGAUCAUGGUGUCAUGCCGGUGACGAAGAUGAUCAUGGAGCCCCAAAGAUGGAGAUCGAAGGAGCUAUAUGAUAUUGGCCAUAUCAUGUCACUACUUUAUAUAAUUGCAUGUGAUGUUUAUUAUGUUUUAUGCAUCUUGUUUACUUAGAACGGCGGUAGUAAAUAAGAUGAUCCCUUAUAAUAAUUUCAAGAAAGUGUUCCCCCUAACUGUGCACCAUUGCUAAAGUUCGUCGUUUCGAAGCACCACAUGAUGAUCGGGUGUGAUAGAUCCUUACGUUCACAUACAACGGGUGUAAGACAGUUUUACACAUGCAUAAACACUUAGGGUUAACUUGACGAGCCUAGCAUGUACAGACAUGGCCUCGAAACACAAGAGACCGAAAGGUCGAACAUGAGUCGUAUGGAAGAUACGAUCAACAUGGAGAUGUUCACCGAUGAUGACUAGUCCGUCUCACGUGAUGAUCGGACAUGGCCUAGUCGACUCGGAUCGUGCAACACUUAUAUGACUAGAGGGAUGUCAAAUAUGAGUGGGAGUUCAUUAAAUAAUUUGAUUAGAUGAACUUAAUUAUCAUGAACUUAGUCUAAAAUAUUUGCAAAAUAUGUCUUGUAGAUCAAAUGGCCAACGCUCAUGUCAACAAGAACUUCAACGCGUUCCUAGAGAAAACCAAGCUGAAAGAUGAUGGCAACAACUAUUCGGACUGGGUCCGGAACCUGAGGAUCAUCCUCAUAGCAGCCAAGAAAGCAUAUGUCCUAGAAGGACCGCUAGGUGAAGCACCCAUCCCAGAGAACCAAGACGUUAUGAACACCUGGCAGUCACGUGCUGAUGAUUACUCCCUCGUUCAGUGCGGCAUGCUUUACAGCUUAGAACCGGGGCUCCAAAAGCGUUUUGAGCAACACGGAGCAUAUGAGAUGUUCGAGGAGCUGAAAAUGGUUUUUCAAGCUCAUGCCCGGGUCGAGAGAUAUGAAGUCUCCGACAAGUUCUAUAGUUGUAAGAUGGAGGAAAACAGUUCUGUCAGUGAGCACAUACUCAAAAUGUCUGGGUUGCACAACCGCCUGUCCCAGCUGGACAUUAACCUCCCGGACGAGGCGGUCAUUGACAGAAUCCUUCAGUCGCUCCCACCAAGCUACAAGAGCUUUGUGAUGAACUACAAUAUGCAGGGGAUGGUGAAGACCAUUCCUGAAGUAUUUUCAAUGCUGAAGUCAGCAGAUGUUGAAAUCAAGAAAGAACAUCAAGUGUUGAUGGUCAAUAAGACCACUAAGUUCAAGAAGGGCAAGGGUAAGAAGAACUUCAAGAAGGACGGCAAAGAUGUUGCCGCGCCCGGUAAGCCAGUUGCCGGGAAGAAGUCAAAGAAUGGACCCAAGCCUGAGACUAAGUGCUUUUAUUGCAAAGGGAAGGGUCACUGGAAGCGAAACUGCCCCAAAUACUUAGCGGACAAGAAGGCCGGCAACACUAAAGGUAUAUGUGAUAUACAUGUAAUUGAUGUGUACCUUACCAGUACUCGUAGUAACUCCUGGGUAUUUGAUACCGGUGCCGUUGCUCACAUUUGUAACUCACAGCAGGAGCUGCGGAAUAAGCAGAGACUGGCGAAGGACGAGGUGACAAUGCGCAUUGGGAAUGGUUCCAAGGUCGAUGUGAUCGCCGUCGGCACGCUACCUCUACAUUUACCCACGGGAUUAGUUAUGAACCUCAAUAAUUGUUAUUUAGUGCCAAGUUUGAGCAUGAACAUUGUAUCUGGAUCUCGUUUAAUACGAGAUGGCUACUCAUUUAAAUCUGAGAAUAAUGGUUGUUCUAUUUAUAUGAGAGAUAUGUUUUAUGGUCAUGCCCCGAUGGUCAAUUGUUUAUUCUUAAUGAAUCUCGAACGUAAUGUUACACAUAUUCAUAGUGUGAAUACCAAAAGAUGUAAAGUUGAUAAUGAUAGUCCCACAUACUUGUGGCACUACCGCCUUGGUCACAUUGGUGUCAAGCGCAUGAAGAAGCUUCAUACUGAUGGACUUUUAGAGUCUCUCGAUUAUGAAUCAUUUGACACAUGCGAACCAUGCCUCAUGGGCAAAAUGACCAAGACUCCGUUCUCCGGAACGAUGGAGCGAGCAACCAACUUAUUGGAAAUCAUACAUACUGAUGUGUGUGGUUCAAUGAGCGUUGAGGCUCGCGGAGGAUAUCGUUAUGUUCUCACUCUCACGGAUGACUUAAGUAGAUAUGGGUAUGUCUACUUGAUGAAACACAAGUCUGAGACCUUUGAAAAGUUCAUGGAAUUUCAGAAUGAAGUAGAGAAUCAAUGUGACCGAAAGAUAAAAUUCUUAUGAUCAGAUCGUGGAGGAGAAUAUUUAAGUCACGAAUUUGGUACACACUUAAGAAAAUGUGGAAUCGUUUCACAACUCACGCCGCCUGGAACACCUCAGCAUAACGGUGUGUCCGAACAUGGUAAUCGCACUCUAUUGGAUAUGGUGCGAUCUAUGAUGUCUCUUACCAAUUUACCGCUAUCAUUUUGGGGAUACGCUCUAGAGACAGCUACAUUCACUUUAAAUAGGGCACCAUCUAAAUCCGUUGAGACGACACCGUAUGAAUUAUGGUUUGGGAAGAAACCUAAGCUGUCGUUUCUAAAAGUUUGGGGAUGCGAUGCUUAUGUCAAGAAACUUCAACCUGAAAAGCUCGAACCCAAGUCGGAAAAAUGUGUCUUCAUAGGAUACCCUAAGGAAACCAUUGGGUAUACCUUGUACCUUAGAUCCGAAGGCAAGAUCUUUGUUGCCAAGAACAGAUCCUUUCUAGAAAAAGAGUUUCUCUCGAAAGGAGUAAGUGGGAGGAAAGUAGAACUCGAUGAAGUACUACCUCUUGAACCGGAAAGUAGUGCAGCUCAGGAAAAUGUUCCUGUGGUCCCUACACUGACUGGAGAGGAAAUUAAUAAUGAUGAUCAAGGUACUUCGGAUCAAGUUGCUACUGAACUUCAUAGGUCCACAAGGACACGUUCCACACCAGAGUGGUAUGGCAACACUGUCCUGGAGAUCAUGUUGUUAGACAACGGUGAACCUUCGAACUAUGAAGAAGCGAUGGCAGGCCCAGAUUCCAACAAAUGGCUAGAAGCCAUGCAAUCCGAGAUAGAAUCCAUGUAUGAAAAGAAAGUAUGGACUUUGACUGACUUGCCCGAUGAUCGGCGAGCGAUAGAAAACAAAUGGAUCUUUAAGAAGAAGACGGACGCAUAUGGUAAUGUCACCAUCUAUAAAGCUUGACUUGUCGCUAAGGGUUAUCGGCAAGUUCAAGGGGUUGACUACGAUGAGACUUUCUCUCCCGUAGCGAAGCUUAAGUCCGUCCGAAUCAUGUUAGCAAUUGCCGCAUACUAUGAUUAUGAGAUAUGGCAGAUGGACGUCAAAACGGCAUUCCUUAACGGUUAUCUUAAGGAAGAGCUGUAUAUGAUGCAGCCGGAAGGUUUUGUCGAUCCUAAGAAUGCUAACAAAGUAUGCAAGCUCUAGCGAUCCAUUUAUGGGCUAGUGCAAGCAUCUCGGAGUUGGAACAUUCGCUUUGAUGAGAUGAUCAAAGCGUUUGGGUUUAUGCAGACUUAUGGAGAAGCCUGCGUUUACAAGAAAGUGAGUGGGAGCUCUGUAGCAUUUCUCAUAUUAUAUGUAGAUGACAUACUUUUGAUGGGAAAUGAUAUAGAAUUCUUGGACAGCAUUAAGGCCUACUUGAAUAAGUGUUUUUCAAUGAAGGACCUUGGAGAAGCUGCUUACAUAUUAGGCAUCAAGAUCUAUAGGGAUAGACCGAGAAGCCUCAUAGGUCUUUCACAAAGCACAUACCUUGAUAAGAUUUUGAAGAAGUUCAAAAUGGAUCAGUCCAAGAAAGGGUUCUUGCCUGUAUUGCAAGGUGUGAGAUUGAGCUCGACUCAAUGCCCGACCACGGCAAAAGAUAAAGAAGAGAUGAGUGUCAUCCCCUAUGCCUCAGCCAUAGGAUCUAUUAUGUAUGUCAUGCUGUGUACCAGACCAGAUGUAAACCUUGCCGUAAGUUUGGUAGGUAGGUACCAAAGUAAUCCCGGCAAGGAACACUGGACAGCAGUCAAGAAUAUCCUAAAGUACCUGAAAAGGACAAAGGAUAUGUUUCUCGUUUAUGGAGGUGACGAAGAGCUCGUCGUAAAGGGUUACGUCGACGCUAGCUUCGACACAGAUCUGGAUGACUCUAAGUCACAAACCGGAUACAUGUAUAUGUUGAAUCAUGGAGCAGUGAGCUGGUGCAGUUGCAAGCAGAGCGUCGUGGCGGGAUCUACAUGUGAAGCGGAGUACAUGGCAGCCUCGGAGGCAGCGCAUGAAGCAAUAUGGAUGAAGGAGUUCAUCACCGACCUAGGAGUCAUACCCAAUGCGUUGGGGCCAAUCACUCUCUUCUGUGACAACACUGGAGCUAUUGCCCUUGCCAAGGAGCCCAGGUUUCACAAGAAGACCAGGCACACCAAGCGUCGUUUCAACUCCAUUCGUGAAAAUGUUCAAGAUGGAGACACAGAUAUUUGCAAAGUACAUAUGGAUCUGAAUGUCACAGAUCCGUUGACUAAACCUCUUCGCGAGCAAAACAUGAUCAACACCAAAACUCUAUGGGUGUUCAAUUCAUCACAAUGUUACUAGAUUAUUGACUCUAGUGCAAGUGGGAGACUAUUGGAAAUAUGCCCUAGAGGCAAUAAUAAAAGGAUUAUUAUUAUAUUUCUUUGUUCAUGAUAGUUGUCUUUUAUUCAUGCUAUAAUUGUAUUAUCCGGAAAUCGUAAUACACGUGUGAAUACUUAGACCACAACAUGUCCCUAGUGAGCCUCUAGUUGACUAGCUCGUUGAUCACCAGAUAGCCAUGGUUUCCUGACUAUGGACAUUGGAUGUCGUUGAUAACGGGAUCACAUCAUUAGGAGAAUGAUGUGAUGGACAAGACCCAAUCCUAAGCAUAGCACAAGAUCGUGUAGUUCGUUUUGCUAGAGCUUUUCCAAUGUCAAGUAUCUCUUCCUUAGACCAUGAGAUCAUGUAACUCCCGGAUACGGUAGAAGUUCUUUGGGUGUACCAAAUGUCACAACGUAACUGGGUGACUAUAAAGGUGCACUACAGGUAUCUCCGAAAGUGUUUGUUGGGUUGACAUGGAUCGAGACUGGGAUUUGUCACUCCGUAUUACGGAGAGGUAUCAAUGGGCCCACUCGGUAGUGCAUCAUUAUAAUGAGAUCAAAGUGACCAAGUGUCUGGUCACGGGAUCAUGCAUUACGGUACGAGUAAAGUGACUUGCCGGCAACGAGAUUGAAUGAGGUAUUGGGAUACCGACGAUCGAAUCUCAGGCAAGUAACAUACCGUCUGACAAAGGGAAUAGUAUACGGGGUUGCUUGAAUCCUUGACAUCGUGGUUCAUCCGAUGAGAUCAUCGAGGAGUAUGUGGGAGCCAACAUGGGUAUCCAGAUCCCACUGUUGGUUAUUGACCGGAGAGCCGUCUCGGUCAUGUCUACAUGUCUCCCGAACCCGUAGGGUCUACACACUUAAGGUUCAGUGAUGCUAGGGUUGUAUGAAUAUGAGUAUGCAGCAAACCGAAUGUUGUUCGGAGUCCCGGAUGAGAUCCCGGACGUCACGAGGAGUUCCGGAAUGGUCCAGAGGUAAAGAAUUAUAUAUAGGAAGUGCUGUUUCGGCCAUCGGGAAAGUGUCGGGGUCACCCGGUAUUGUACCGGGACCACCGGAAGGGUCCCCGGGGUCCACCGGGUGGGGCCACCUAUCCCGAAGGGCCCCGUGGGCUGAAGUGGGAGGGGAACCAGCCCCUAGUGGGCUGGUGCGCCCCCCUUGGGCCCCCCUGCGCCUAGGGUUGGAAACCCUAGGGUGGGGGGGCACACCACUUGCCUUGGGGGGCACUCCACCCCCCUGGCCGCCGCCCCCUUGGGAGAUUCCCAUCUCCAGGGCUGGCGCCCCCCAGGGGGCCUAUAUAAAGGAGGGGGGAAGGGAGGUCAGCCACACCCUGAGUCUUGGCGCCUCCCUCCCCCUGCUACACCUCUUCCUCCUCGCGCAGUUGCUUGGCGAAGCCCUACCGGAGUCCUGCUGCAUCCACCACCACGCCGUCGUGCUGCUGGAUCUUCAUCAACCUCUCCUUCCCCCUUGCUGGAUCAAGACGGAGGAGACGUCACGCUGACCGUACGUGUGUUGAACACGGAGGUGCCGUCCGUUCGGCGCUAGGAUCUCCGGUGAUAGGAUCACGACGAGAACGACUACCUCAACCCCGUUCUCUUGAACGCUUCCGCACGCGAUCUACAAGUGGUAUGUAGAUGCAUCUCUCUCUCUCUCAUUGCUAGAUGAACUCAUAGAUGGAUCUUGGUGAACGUAGGAAUUUUUUUAUUUUAUGCAACGUUCCCCAACAGUUUUGUGUUGUGAAGUUUUCAAGUUUUGGGUAAAGAUUUGAUGGAUUUUGGAAUAAGGAGUGGCAAGAGCCUAAGCUUGGGGAUUUUCAAGGCACCCCAAGGUAAAAUCCAAGGACAACCAAAAGCCUAAGCUUGGGGAUGCCCCGGAAGGCAUCCCCUCUUUCGUCUUCGCCUAUCGGUAACUUUACUUGAGGCUAUAUUUUUAUUCACCACAUGACAUGUGUUUUGCUUGGAGCGUCUUGUAGGAUUUGAGUCUUUGCUUUUUAGUUUACCAUAAUCAUCCUUGCUGUACACACGUUUUGGGAGAUACAUGCAUGAAUCGGAAUUUAUUGGAAUACUCUAUGUGCUUCACUUAUAUCUUUUGAGCUAGACAAUAUUGCUCUAGUGCUUCACUUAUAUCUUUUUAGAGCACGGUGGUGGUUUUAUUUUAUAAAAAAUGUUGAUAUCUCAUGCUUCACCUAUAUUAUUUUGAGAGUCUUUUAUAAAAGCAUGGUAAUUUGCUUUGGUUAUAAAAUUAGUCCUAAUAUGAUGGGCAUCCAAGAUGGGUAUAAUAAAAACUUUCAUAUAAAGUGCGUUGAAUACUAUGAGAAGUUUGAUUCUUUAUGAUUGUUUUGAGAUAUGAAGAUGGUGAUAUUAGAGUCAUGCUAGUAGAGUAGUUGUGAAUUUGAGAGAUACUUGUGUUAAAGUUUGUGAUUCCCGUAGCAUGCACAUAUGGUGAACCGUUAUGUGAUGAAGUUGGAGCAUGAUUUAUUUAUUGAUUGUCUUCCUUAUGAGUGGCGGUCGGGGACGAGCGAUGGUAUUUUCCUACCAAUCUAUCCCCCUAGGAGCAUGCGUGUAGUACUUCGUUUUGAUAACUAAUAUAUUUUUGCAAUAAGUAUGUGAGUUCUUUAUGACUAAUGUUGAGUCCAUGGAUUAUAUGCACUCUCAUUCUUCCACCAUUUCUAGCCUCUCUAGUACCGCACAACUUUUGCCGGUACCAUACACCCACCAUAUACCUUCCUCAAAACAGCCACCAUACCUACCUAUUAUGGCAUUUCCAUAGCCAUUCCAAGAUAUAUUGCCAUGCAACUUUCCUUCCAUUUAUUAUGACACGCUCCAUCAUUGUCAUAUUGCCUUGCAUGAUCAUGUAGUUGACAUCGUAUUUGUGGCAAAGCCACCGUUCAUAAUUUUUCAUACAUGUCACUCUUGAAUCAUUGCACAUCCUGAUACACCGCCGAAGGCAUUCACAUAGAAUCAUAUUUUGUUCUAAGUAUUGAGUUGUAAUUCUUGAGUUGUAAGUAAAUAAAAGUGUGAUGAUCUUCAUUAGAGCAUUGUCCCGUGUGAGGAAAGGAUGAUGGAGACUAUGAUUCCCCCACAAGUCGAGAUGAGACUCCGGACUAAAAAAACAGGCCAUAAAAAGAUGAAGAGAAAAUGCCCAAGUAAUAAAUAAAAAAAUGGGAGAAAAAGAGAGAAGGGGCAAUGCAACUAUCCUUUUCCACACUUCUGCUUCAAAGUAGCACCAUGAUUUUCAUGACAGAGAGUCUCCUAUGUUGUCACUUUCAUAUACUAGUGGGAAUUUUCAUUAUAGAACUUGACUUGUAUAUUCCAAUGAUGGGCUUCCUCAAAGUGCCCUAGGUCUUUGUGAGCAAGCAAGUUGGAUGCACACCCAUUUAGUUCUUGUUGAGCUUUCAUAUACUUAUAGCUCUAGUGCAUCCAUUGCAUGCCAAUCCCUACUCACUCACACUGAUAUAUAUUGAUGGGCAUCUCCAUAGCCCGUUGAUGCGCCCAGGUGAUGAGACUAUCUUCUUCUUUUUAUCUUCUCCACAACCACCAUUCUAUUCCACCUAUAGUUGUAACAUCCCAAAUUUUCAAUUUGGAAUGUUAUACACUAGAUCAUCAAUGCAUAUAAUGUUUUAUUGCUUUUGGCCUGAUCCUAGAAAUUCUAUGCAACUCAAGGACCCUCAGAGAGAGUUGGGGAUUUCGUUAUUUUCAUAUUUCAGUUUUCUCGAAUUUUGAAAAUAGGAUCAUUUGAUUUUAAUUAUUUUAUCUUCAAUUAUUUCGAUUAUAAAAAUAUGAGAGAGGGAAUAAAAUGGCUUUCCCAAAAUAAAGAAACAUUGAGCAUUUAAUAAAAAAACAGAUAAGUUUUAUUUUGGAGUUUUUGCUAUUUUAUUUGAAUUUAGGAAAAAUUGCACGUUUUCAAAACUGCAUGUUAGGGCCAAGAAAAUGUUCAUCUUGUUCUAAAUUUUUUAUUUAGACGGUGAAAAUUUAUUUUGGCAUUUUUAGAUUUUUAGUUAUUUUUCUAGGAUUUUUCUUAGUUUGGUGGAAUUAUUUAAAAAACAAAUCCCCGCGCCCGACUGGGCCGAAGGCCCAGCCGAGCCAGGCCGGUCAGCCCCGCGCCGCCGCCUCCGCGCCGCGCGUCGCCGCCGCCGACCCAGACUAGGAGUCCGGGACAGACUCCUCUCCCCGCCGCCUUGCCCCCUCCCCCAAGCNNNNNNNNNNNNNNNNNNNNNNNNNNNNNNNNNNNNNNNNNNNNNNNNNNNNNNNNNNNNNNNNNNNNNNNNNNNNNNNNNNNNNNNNNNNNNNNNNNNNNNNNNNNNNNNNNNNNNNNNNNNNNNNNNNNNNNNNNNNNNNNNNNNNNNNNNNNNNNNNNNNNNNNNNNNNNNNNNNNNNNNNNNNNNNNNNNNNNNNNNNNNNNNNNNNNNNNNNNNNNNNNNNNNNNNNNNNNNNNNNNNNNNNNNNNNNNNNNNNNNNNNNNNNNNNNNNNNNNNNNNNNNNNNNNNNNNNNNNNNNNNNNNNNNNNNNNNNNNNNNNNNNNNNNNNNNNNNNNNNNNNNNNNNNNNNNNNNNNNNNNNNNNNNNNNNNNNNNNNNNNNNNNNNNNNNNNNNNNNNNNNNNNNNNNNNNNNNNNNNNNNNNNNNNNNNNNNNNNNNNNNNNNNNNNNNNNNNNNNNNNNNNNNNNNNNNNNNNNNNNNNNNNNNNNNNNNNNNNNNNNNNNNNNNNAGCAGCCGCCGCCACCGCCGCCUCCUGCCACAGCCCCGCCACCCCUUGCCGUCCCGCCGUCCCGCCGGAGCCGAGCGGAGGUAUUAACCGCCGCCGCCGGGGUCCGUUUUUUAAAACCCGAUCCGGUUUUUCUUUAGAAACCCUAGAUUCGUUUUUUAAUAGAUCGGUUUUAUUUUUUUGGUUAUUUUUAUUUAGCGAGCGUUCGCCCGUUCGUUCGUUUUAACAAACAAAUUCUCCUUUUAGUUUCAGUUAACGAACGUUCGUUCGUUAAUCUGUUCGUCAGCUUUUCUUUUUCUCGGAUUUUCCGCGGUUAUUUUUGAUCGCGAUUUCUAAUCCGAUUUUCUUUUUAGUUUAUCUUUUUGCUCAUUUAUCGGAAUCAGGCGAUUCAAGCGCCUAGAGUUUCGUCUCGAAACUCUCUUUCCGUUUAACCAACUCAAACAAGUUUUUGCUACUGUAAAAUUUGACUUAGAUCCAGAUUAGUAAACGAAGAUCGUUUCUUUAGCCGUUUGACUUUCGUUGCUUCGUUCGAUUUGAUUCUUUUUGCAAACCGGAGUUCUUAAGUUGAAUUUCUGGUUAGAUCUCUUAUUUGAGUUUUACCCGUGCAUUAGAUGAGUGCUUAUUGUAUGCUUGUUUGUUUGCGAUAGAGUAUCCAGAGUGCGCCACUUGCUACUUCGAAUCUCUAGGUUUUGCGGAUCAUCAGCAAGGCAAGUAACACUUUGAUCAUACCCCUUUACUACCUAGUUUUAUUGCAUUAGAUCAACCCUCAAACAAUUGCAUGAUUAGGAUCUGAUUAAAUUGUGGGUUUUGGGAAGUAGAUGAGGUAGUACCUAUAACCUGUUUUAUUAUCAAACCCCUGGGAGUUACUCUACGUUUGCUUAUUAUGCCAUGCUAUGCUAGUAGACGUGGAUUGGGUGAGUGUAUCCAUGACAGAUGUGAUAUUGUUAAAUUAAUGGUUUAUUUAAGGUGGCAACUUAAACACACAUCUGGGUGGAUUGAGGCACCUGGGUAUUCCAGCGAUUGCCUGUUUUCUUUAUGGACCGCCACCCAAGCUCAAAGGGAUCAUGAGAUUAUUCAUGCUAGAAACUUCCGUGUGCAGCCACAAGCUACUAUGGGCUCUAGCAUAGUUGACUAAGUCGUGCGAACUCUUACAGUGGUAGACUAGCAGAUGUAGGGGAUGUAGGUUGGUACGGUCUACCUGAUCGUAAGGUGCUAGCGCUUCUGAAAGACUAUGUCUCAGUCAUCCGUUUCUCAAACAUCAUGUAGUGCGUGAAUCCCAAACGGAGGAGAUCAAGUCUUGUGGGGAAAAGUGCGCAAACCUCUGCAGAGUGUAUAAACUAAUCAUGGUUAGCCGUGUCCCCGGUUAUGGACAUCUUGAGUAUCUAGUACUUGGAUUAUCAUAUGAAUCUCAUCAUGUUACUUUAAUUAAUAUUGUUGGGUUUUAAUGAUGAUGCUUAAUUGGGAUUGAGAAUGCUGUCAACCAUUCUCAAUGUUUAACAACCAUCAUGAUAGUUAAAUAAAAUUUAUUCCUUUGCAGUAGGGAAAAAUUGGCUUUAUGCAAAAUUGUAACCAUAGAGCUUUCCACUAGCCAUAUUAUGCAUGUAGUAUAUCAUAUUUCUGUUCAUUACUCUCUAUGUGUUACAUUGCCAGCAUAUUCCAUGUGCUAACCCGUUUUCGUGCUGCAACGUUCAUGUUGUAGACUUUUCAGACGACGAGUAAGAUGCCUUAGGAUCGUGGUUCUAUACUCAGUGAUGCUGUUGGAGUUGAUGGACUCACUUAUCUUCCAAGCCUUCCGCUGUUAUUGUUAUUAGAUGGCCUUAAGCCAUAUUUAUUGUAAUAAGUUCUCUUUUGAGACAUUCGAUGUAACAAGUGUGUGAUUGCUACUCUGUUAUAAAUCCUCCAAGUACUGUGCAUGUCAGCAUUACUGAUCCAGUGAUGACACUGAAGCACAGAGAUCAGACUGUUUGAGGUCUGGUCGCUACAAUAGUGCUAUGUCCAUGGCUCACGCUCAUGUAUUGCGUGAAGAUUGAAAAAGUUUGAGAACACUAAAAGUAUGAAACAAUUGCUUGGCUUGUCAUCGGGGUUGCGCAUGAUUAAAUACUUGUGUGAUGAAGAUAGAGCAUAACCAGACUAUAUGAUUUUGUAGGGAUAGCUUUCUUUGGCCAUGUUAUUUUGAAAAGACAUGAUUGCUUUGUUAGUAUACUUGAAGUAUUAUUAUUUUUAUGUCCAUAUUAAACUUUUGUCUUAAAUCUUUCGGAUCUGAACAUUCAUGCCACAAUAAAGAAAAUUAUAUUGAUAAAUAUGUUAGGUAGCAUUCCACAUCAAAAAUUCUGUUUUUAUCAUUUACUACUCGAGGACGAGCAGGAAUUACGCUUGGGGAUGCUUGAUACGUGUCCAAUGUAUCUAUAAAUUUUGAUUGUUCCAUGCUAUUAUAUUAUCUAUUUUGGAUGUUUAAUGGGCUUUAAUAUGCUCUUUUAUAUUAAUUUUGGGACUAAUCUAUUAACCGGAGGCCCAAUGCCAGUUUUUUUCCUAUUUUAGAGUUUUACAGAAAAGGAAUACCAAACAGAGUCCAAACGGAAUUAAAUUCGCGAUGAUCUUUCUUAGACCAAAAGCAAACCAGAAGACUUGGAGUUGAAGUCAGAGACGCAACGAGGCGUCCACGAGGCAGGAGGGCGCGCCUAGGGGGAUAUCCGCGCCCCCACCCUCAUGGGCCCCUCGUAGCUCCACCGACCUAGUUCUUUAGCCUAUAUAUACUCUCAUACCCUAAAAACAUCAGAGGGAGCCACAAAACCACUUUUCCACCGCAACAACCUUAUGUACCCAUGAGAUCCCAUCUUGGGGCCUUUUCCGGUGAUCUGCCAGAGGGGGAAUCGAUCAUGGAGGGCUUCUACAUCAACACCAUUGCCUCUACGAUGAAGCGUGAGUAGUUUACCAUAGACCUUCUGGUCCAUAGUUAUUAGCUAGAUGGCUUCUUCUCUCUCUUUGAUUCUUUAUACAAAGUUCUCCUCGAUGUUCUUGGAGAUCUAUUCGAUGUAAUACUCUUUUGCGGUGUGUUUGCCGAGAUCCGAUGAAUUGUGGAUUUAUGAUCAAUAUUAUCUAUGAAUAUUAUUUGGUUCUUCACUGAAUUCUUAUAUGCAUGAUUUGAUAUCUUUGCAAGUCUCUUCGAAUUAUCGGUUUAGUUUGGCCUACUAGAUUGAUAUUUCUUACCAUGCGAGAAGUGCUUAGCUUUGGGUUCAAUCUUGCAUUGUCCUUUCCCAGUGAGAGUAGGAGCAACAAGGCACAUAUUGUAUUGUUGCCAUUGAGGAUUAAAAGAUGGGGUUUAUAUUAUAUUGCUUGAGUUUAUCCCUCUACAUCAUGUCAUCUUACUUAAUGCGUUACUCCGUUCUUAUGAACUUAAUACUCUAGAUGCAUGCUGGAUAGCGGUCGAUGUGUGGAGUAAUAGUAGUAGAUGCAGGCAGGAGUCGGUCUACUUGACACAAACGUGAUGCCUAUGUUCAUGAUCAUUGCCUUAGAUGUCAUCAUAAUUAUGGGCUUUUCUAUCAAUUGCUCGGCAGUAAUUUGUUCACCCACCGUAAUACAUGCUAUCUUGAGAGAAGACACUAGUGAAACCUAUGCCCCUGGGUCUCUUUUCCAUUAUAUUAAAGUCUCUUUUCCAUAUUUUUGAAUCUCGUUUACUAUUUUGCAAUCUUUAGUUUCCAAUCUAUACAUCAAAAAUACAAAAAAUAUUUACUUUAUUAUAUCUAUUAGAUCUCACUUUUGUGAGUGGCCGUGCAGGGAUUGACAACCCCUUUAUCGUGUUGGUUACAAGUUCUUGAUUGUUUGUGCAGGUAUUUGGUGACUUGUGCGUCUUCUCAUACUGGAUUGAUACCUUGAUUCUCAAAACUGAGGGAAAUACUUACACUACUUUGUUGCAUCACCCUUUCCUCUUCAAGGGGGAAAACCAACACAAGCUCAAGAGGUAGCACCCAACACGUAAGAGGGGUUGUUAAUCCCUCCUCGGUAUUGAGAUAGAUAAUAUGGUAUGAAAUUGGAUAAAUAGAUCUAGCAGAAACAUAAAAUAAAUUAAAUAAAGAAAAGUACAGCAAGGUAUUUUGGUUUUUUUUGGAGUAAUAGAUCUGAAAACAAUAUGUUAAAACAUAGACGCGGGGGCCAUAGAUUUCACUGGUGGCUUCUCUCAAGAAAAUAGCGUACGGUGGGUAAAUAAAUUACUGUUGGGUAAUUGAUAGAAGAGAAAAAAAUUAUGAUGAUAUCCAAGUCAACGAUCAUGUAUAUAGGCAUCACGUUCAAGAUUAGUAGACCGACUCCUGCCUGCAUCUACUACUAUUACUCCACACAUCGACCGCUAUCCAGCAUGCAUCUAUUGUAUUAAGUUCAGAAACGGAAUAAAGCAAUAAGAACGAUGACAUGAUGUAGACAAGAUCUAUACAUGUAGGAAUAGACCCCGUCAGUUUAUCCUUAAUAGCAACGGUACAUGCGUGCCUCGCCACCCCUUCUGUCACUGGGUGAGGACACCGCAAGAUCGAACCCAUCAGAAAGCACCUCUUCCCAUUGCAAGAAAAAUCAAUCUUGUUGGCCAAACCAAACCAAAGUUUCAGAGAAGAAAUACGAGGCUAUAAAAAUCAUGCAUAUAAGAGAUCAAAGAAGACUCAAAUAAUAUUUCAUAGAUAGAACUCAUCAUAAACUCGCAAUUCAUUGGAUCCCAACAGACACACCGUAAAAAGUCAUUUCAUCAAAUAGGUGAACAUCGAGGAGAACAUUGUAUUGAGAAUCAAAAAGAGAGAAGAAGCCAUCUAGCUACUGCCUAUGGACCCAUAGGUCUGUGGUAAACUACUCACGCAUCAUCGGAGGAGCACGAAUGAGGAUGAUGAACCCCUUCAUGAUCAUGUUCCCCUCUAGCAAGGUGCCAGAAUAGGGAUCUACAUUGGAUCUAGUUGUUCUGGAACUUGCGGCAGCUGGAAUUAUGUUUUGUCAACUCCUCUAGGGUUUCUGGAAUAUUUGGGUAUUUAUAGAGCUAAGGGGCGGUGGAAAGGACUCCCAUGGGCCCCACUAGCCACCAGGGCGUGCCAAUGGCCCGUGGCGCGCCCUGGUGUCUUGUGGGCCCCAUGGGCCUCCCCUCGGGCACUUCCUUGGCUCCCAAGUUGUCUUCUGGGCAGAAAAAGUCUCCAAAAAGUUUUGCUGCGUUUGGACUCUGUUUGCUAUGGAUAUUAAGCAAAGUGAAAAACAAGCAAAAAACAACAAUUGGGCACUAUGUCAACAGGUUAGUCCCAAAAAAUGAUAUAAAGUUGCUAUAAACUGAAUAUAAAACAUCCAAGAAUGAUAAUAUAACAAAACGGAACAAUAAAAAAUUAUAGAUAUGUUGGAGCGUAUCAGUUACCCGUAGCACAAGACAUGAAUUGAACUAAUGGCAACAUCUAACAUUUAUUUUUUAUUUCAGCAAAAAACAUUUAGUCAUGUGGAGGCACUACGUUUAUGAAAAUUGUUAUGAGCUACAGACGGAACAUAAAAGUCUCAAAUAUAUCUUCAGGCAAAAUGAGUUGAAUAUGAGGCAAAGAAGAUGGUUAGAACUCAUCAAGGAUUAUGAACUUGGUGUUAAGUACCACGCAGGAAAGGCUAUUGCGAUUGCAAACACCCUUAGCCGAAAAAGCUCAUGCAAUCAUUUUAGGAUUGCAACCUAUGAUAGUCAUACGAUAAAUGUACUGAAAAGGAUGGGAAUUAAACUUGUACGUAAACCUGUUGAGAAAAUCCUAGCCACAUUAAUAAUCAAGCUCAAUCUGUUGUACUAAAUCAAGGAAAAUCAUAUCAAAGAUGAGUUUAUUUGUGAGGAAAAGCGGAUAAUGCAAGAUGGUCAACUAUCAGAAUUCAGAAUAGCGGAAUACAUGACACUUUGGUAUAAAACCCGAAUAUGUGUGCCAAAUAUCCUUGAUAUUAAGCAAAUAAUACUCAAGGAGGCACACAACAUCCCAUACACCAUACACCUAGGUAUCACAAAAAUGUACAGUGAUAUCAACAUUACAUUUUGGUGGAGAAAUAUGAAAAGAUAAAUUGCUUAGUAUGUUGAUGAGUAUGACACUUGUAAAAGGGUCAAGGUAGAGCACCAGCGCCCACUAGGAUUAUCAAAACCUCUCCAAAUUCCGCAAUGGAUAUGGGAGGAGAUCCACAUGGACUUUAUCACCGGACUGCCCAAGACGAGAAAUCGAGAGGAAAUCUUAUGGGUUAUAGUUGACCGACUCACUAAAUCUUCUCAUUUUACCCCUUUAGCCCUGGGAAUUUCUAGGAAAAAACCGGCUGAGCAAUAUAUCCACAGGAUAGUAGCUCUACAUGGAACACCUUCCAAUACGGUGUCAGACCAUGGAUCUAUGUUUUCUUCCAAGUUCUGGAAAAAAAUAGAAGAAGCACUAGGAACAAAACUGGAUUUUAGUACCGCGUACCACCACCAAACUAGCAGUCAAGUUGAGAGGGUGAAUCAAUUCGUAGAGGACAUGCUAAGGGCUUGCAUGCUAGAUUUUGGUGACUUGUGGAGCAAGCGCUUGCCCUUAGCUGAGUUCGGAUAUAAAAAUAGUUAUCAAGGUAGUAUUAGUAUGUCCCCAUUUGAGGCCUUAUACAGCCGAAGAUACCGAACCCCAAUAUGUUGGGAGGAAACCGGAGAAAAGAAACUCUUAGCACCCGACUUGGUCUAAGAAACCAAGGAAAAAGUUUGCAUAAUUAAAGAGCGGCUAAAAACGACGCAUAGUCGGCAAAAGACUUAUGUAGAUAAGAGAGGACGCGACAUACAAUAUCAACUCGGUGACUUUGUAGAUAAGAGAGGACGCGACAUACAAUAUCAAGUCUUAUGUAGAUAAGAGAGGACGCGACAUACAAUAUCAAGUCUCACCAAAGGGGUCAAGUGCUUUGGAGUACAAGGAAAAUUAAGUCUGCGGUAUAUUGGUCCCUAUCGGAUUUUAAAAAGAAGAGGGGCACUGGCGAACAAAUUAGAAUUGUUAGUGCACCUACAAGGGGUUCAUGAUGUAUUUCAUGUUUCCCAAUUAUGCAUGCAAGAGUGUAAAGCCAUCAUUGGAAAGAGUUUAGGAGGAAGAAUUAACCCUUCAAAAAGACAUAACCUAUGAGGAGCAUCCUAGUCUGAUUCUCAACACCGAAGGAAAGAAAACAAGGGAGUAAAAUGAUAAAUAUUUCAAGGUGCAAUGGGGAAAGCGUCUGGUACGAGAAGCGACUUAAAAGGAGGAUGACCUCUGAGAAAAAUAUCCUUACUUUCAAGGGGAGCUUAAAUUUCGAGGACAUAAAUUUUCUAAGUGGGGAGGGAUGUAACCCCACCAUUCGCCUUUUCACCUUCUGUCACUUCUAUCCUUCACUACUAUGUUGUUCUUUCGGUUGCAUGUGUUUUGUUAGCCCUCCUUGCUUGAUGUUUUUGCUAUCUUCACCUCUGUUUGAGUCAGACAAUGAGCAUCUGAUAUUUGACUCUAGUUAGUCUAUAAAAAGAAGGAUGAUGAGUGCCAGAAAACACAUAAAUCAGAUGAAGACUAAUAGGUACAUUGUGGUUUAGUGAAGCAUGGGUCGUAAAAAUUUAUGUGGAUGUCUCUUCGUCUCGUACUAGAUCUGCUAAUAGCCAUGUCAUGCGGAGAGUUAAAUCCCAAAUAUUAGUUGGUUGAGGAUGAUUUGCAUGUGUACCUAUUAGGUCCAACUUUUGUGUAUACUAUUUGUCUUAGUGUUCCUUGUCCGUUUGUAGUGAUCAUUGGUUGGCAAAUGGUCAUAAUCUAUUAAGUACUUAGAUCUAAUUAGUAGCACGUCCACACCAUAGAUUGAAUCUUGAUUAAUUACAUGGCCUUGAGAUUAACAAAGAGAAAGAUGACAAUAUGGAUGUAUGGGGAAUAGUGCAUAGGGCGAGAGAUGAAAUGAACAAUAUGGAAAAAUCUACACACCAUGUUCACAUCUAGCAAGCACUUGUUAUGAAAUUUAGAGCACUACAUGGAGAAGGAAGUAGGAUUAGUACUUAUCAGUAGUAUAGCAGUACCGUGGACACGACCGAUGAAUGUUGGUGACUGACCAUGGCGCUAGAGCCAUGCACGCACGUCGGGCAUGACUGCACGCCUCGUGGGUGUGCCUGCGCUGGUAGAGGAUGUAGGCAGGAAGAAUGUUGUUGGUGUUGCUUAUAGUGGCGAGCCCACCGGACCGAAGUCAGACGAUGCUAGGUUUGGAUGGGGCUGAGCUUUCGUGAUGUAACUGUAGGUGCCUUUGGGUCAGUGACAUGUAGGCCCAACAGGCGGCUAGACCACAUGUCUCAGACCCAAAGGCACCUACAGUUACGGUAGUGAAGCAACGUCCGUUUGGAUGACGAGCUCCUCUAUAUAGGGUAUCACAUUAGGACAUAAGUAACUAGCUUUUACUUUCAAAAGCGGAGCAAAUCGUACUGAUCAUAGACCUUGAAUGGGACGGGUUGAAUAGCUGCCUCUGCAUGGGUGAGAAGGUGGCUGUGGCCGGAUAGGUACAAUCACCCUAGGGUGGGACCGCCAGGUAGGUACAAUCACCUGUAGUAAGCCAAAGUGAAAAAGCAUAUGUAGUGUACGGGCUGGCUAAAGGUUCUAGUUCUUUUGUCUAGACAUGUGCAGAGGUAGCGCAUGUAAUACUUGGAUGAAGUGAUGCUAUGGGUAAAGCAGUACACCUUUGAUUAGAAUAAAAUGUGAUAUCACUCACAACUUCCGGGGUUGGAAGUGCGUCAUGUGCGUUUUUCUCUAACACAAGAUGUAAGAUCCCACGUCACUCUGUCACUAGUAAAUUUUAUAAAUAAAAUUUAACUUCAGCAAAAUUGGUUAAGGGGAAAAUAUUUUGCUUGCAAAAUAUUUUUGGCUGACGGCUCAGUGGUCGUAGAUGUGGCCAAUAAACUUUUCCUCUUUAAAAACUCAUACAUCCCCUUUUCGAUGACUUUCAGAGUACAUAUUUUAUACGUGCUCAACUGCUCUUAUGUUGUUCUUCAAAGACAAUGAGUUAAGAGAACUCCGAGGAGAUAGGGAAUGAUACCUACAAUGAGUAUUGUCAUAUUAAUGACUUUGAUUUUGCUAAAGUGGAGUAUGAUCAUGAGGAAGUCGACGGGCAAGUUUAUGAGGAGUAGAUGCCUUCCAUGAUGGAUCUAGAAGUCUCAUACUAAGAGCGGGCAACUUUCUAUUGUCACGGCCGCUUAGAGUUAGUUGACACGUGAAGUGUCAUUGUAAUAAAAUUCCAUCUACUCAUGGUGACAGUUUUGUCAUGUACAUGAUACUGUUCUCUUCAAAUGAUCCUGGCUCAAUUCUGAAGUGAUGGUUAUCGUUAAUCCUGCCUCUAUCGGACGUCCAUAGAUUUGUAUGCCUGGGUUUGCUAGAUGAAAGUACGUAUGGAUGUUGGUCACCUUUCGUUUACAUCGGCCCAAACUCUAAAGUGUAGAGCCUGACUUCGAGGGGAUUGACUAAUCACCUGUUGGGUAACGUUGCAUGGAAAACAAAAAAAUUCUACGUACACGCAAGAUCUAUCAAUGGAGAUGCAUAGCUACGAGAGGGGCAGAGCAUCUUCAUACCCUUGAAGAUUGCUAAGCGGAAUCAUGAUGGCGUGGUGACAGUGGUGGUGAAGAACAAUCUCUCCAGCGCUUCGCCAAGCACUACCGAAACUAUCAUGGAAAUAUCACGUCAGAUGUCCUCGUACAAGGACUUAGUCGUGGAGCCAUCGCGACGGGUUAGCUUAAGGGGUUAAACCGGACAAAGGACACGAGGGUUUUUAUACUAGUUCGGCCCCUUCGAUGAAGGUAAAGGCCUACGUCUAGUUGUGAUGGGAUUAUUGGGGUCUCGAUAACCAGGGAGCUAAACACGCUAUGCCUGGCUUUCGAGUUGUUGUUUCUUGUCAAAGCACACUGCUAAGGAGGAAUUUGCACCUAUGGGCAAGGGAAAAGGGAAGACAGAUUUGUCCAGCUUUGUUAACCUUAGCACCGAGGAGCUUCAUUCCGGAUUCUUAAACCGCCUCUUCACAAGCCGGGAUUAUGUGGCCGGUUUAGUGAACUUAAUGAAAGAGCGCUAUGAGGUAAUCUUCAAAACACUUUAAAUUUGCUGGCAAUGUAUAUUCACUCCAUAGUAGCCCCCAAGGGUCGGUUUAUCUCUUGUAGACAAACCGGGUCUUCAAAUAUUAAGAAUACUUCAACUGAGUAGCCCCGAAGGGCCGGUUUAUCUUUUCAAGAUGAACCUGGACUUUCUGUUAAUCACUUUGUCUUUAUCAACUGCCUUUAGCUUUAGAUAUAACUGAUCAAUUAAGCAUUAGCCCCCAAGUGCCAAGUUUAAUACUUGUAUUGAACCUUGGGACUUUUGAAAUAUCUGGUUUAAGAAGCAAUCUGCAUUAGGCCCCAAGUGUCAAGUGUAUAACUUGGUAUGCACUUGGGACUUUAAGAGAUACUAACCACUUUAUCAUCUGACUUUGUAGGGUGAUAUAAAUACCAAAGAGUCUCAAAUCGCCGAUCUUCAAGAAAACAUCAAGUCCCAGCAAGAAGAGACCUCUAAAGCCAAAGAGGAGCUAAAGGGCGUUUUGACUGCCAUGGAAAAAUUGAAGGAUGGCUUCAAAACUUAACGCACCAACUGGGAGACCGAAAAGGCUACUCUGUUGAAGCGGGCUGAAGACGCCAAAGCGGCUCUUAAACCGAUGGAAGAAGAGCUGACUGGGCUGAAAUAUCAAGUGAACGCCAUGACAGCUAUAGUUUUUGGUAAGUACCUUAUAAUAGCCUGCUCUGAAGUAUUUUCAACUUUGCCGGUUUAACAUUAAGUUUUUAAACUGUCGCAGGAAAUCGCAUUGCUCAUCUAGGCGCAGAUAUGCAGAUGAAGUUGAAGGUAGCUUAUACAUUGAUUGAACAACUGUAUACUGGUGCACAACGAGUCAUCUCUGCAGCUUCAUACAACAAACCGGCACCCACCUUGAUCAAGGAUACCUUGGCCAGGCUCUCAAUGACUCCUGCUCAGAUAGAGGAGGUGAAGCGAUCGGCUGCUAGAGCAGGCGCUUUGCUAGCGCUGACUCGUGCCAAAUCAUGGAUAGCUUAUCUGGAUCUAGUUGAUAUCGCCAAGGGCUAUCCGGAUGAACAAGAAAACGGAUCAGCAUCCGAUAAUGAAGCCCUCAAGGCCCUUAUGAAGGAGAUGCGUCCGGUAGCAAGUCAGUUGGCUGACAAGGUGAAUUUGACUUCGCAUCGGUCCUUCUAUGAUGCCAACAACCAUCGAGUUGACACUGCUGUGAAGGAAGUGCAGAAUGUUAUUCCGCCAGUUCGUAAGCACACUUAUGCUCCGGACGUUGAACCAUCGAAUCUUAUAAGUGAAGAAGCUGUCUUUCAAGCUUUAAGCCAGAUUGACUGGACCACCGUUGACUUCCAGCCAUUGGGUGGAGAGGAGGAGGUUGAACCGAUGCCUGAAGAUCCAUCAACAUCACGUCAACCUGGUGAUGAGUCUUGAUCCAGUGAUAUGGUUAUUGUCACAGACUUUGUUCUGUGUAAAAAUAAUCAUUAUUUUGGGCCUCAAAGUGCCUUGUAAUAGGCUAGUUAAAAUACUUUGCUCUGUGGCACUGAUGCAUGACGUUGUUGAUCCGCCAUGAUAUUUGCUGUGCUUGAUUACACUGUGAUGAUUUUCAUGCGAUUCUGAUAUCUGCAUAAAAAGAAUUGUCCUGGCGGUUUACCGCCGGACGGGUCAUAAUGCCCAAGAUAAAGCCUGCCUAAUAACCAAAGCUGAAUAAAUAUGAAAUAACUCAUACCUGUGAUAUGAAAUCACUUAGUUGGUUUACCAACUUUCAUUGUAGUAAGGGCGAAGACCCAAAUCUUGAGUUUUUCUAACUCUCACCAUUGAGUGAUGUCAUUUAAUAAGUCAUGCCAGGUUAUAAUGAACACCAGAUGAUCAAACUGGCGACAUGUAGUCAAAGCCAGGUCGGGUUUUCAAUCACCGGUUUGAUAAUAUGGUUUGACAACUUGUAGUUGAAAGCCAAGCCGGGUUAACAAACACCGGGUUGAUAAUAUGGUGUGAAAACUUGUAGUUGAAAGCCAUGCCGGGUUAACAAACACCGGGUUAAUAAUAUGGUCUGACAACUUGUAGUUGAAAGCCGAGCCGGGUUAACAAACACCGGGUUAGUAUGAUGACUGAAAAGCCAUAUCGGGUCAAUAGACACCGGUUCAACAUAAAAUUCAUCAAAAGAGAAAAAAUCUUGACAAAGGCAAAUAAAACCGUGUAGUCGAGGCUUUUCAAGGGCUGCCAGGCCCAAAUUUGAGGCUUUUCAUGGGCUGCCAGGCCACUGAGUUAAACCAUUUUACAAAGCCUUUUAAGAUGGACCUCCAACUAACCAAUCGUUGUUUUAACUUUGACAAGUUCAGGGUCUGUAUAAGAUUGACUUGUCAAACGUUCGGCGGGUCAUGCCAGGAUUACCUGGAUAGGAAUGGCUUACUUGAUGAAGGCAGGUUAACCCGGGGUUUUAGGUGAAUACACCAGGCUUCCAAGCCGUGGGUCGAUACCCAAUUACAAGGGUCCUUUCAAACUCUUUGUUAUUUUACACAAAGAGCCCCCAAGUAACUUUGUGAGCUGUGCUCAUUGGGUGCCUAUGUUUGAGCUGUGCAUAGCAUUCAAACUCUCUUUGGCCCCUUGGGUGUGAAGCUCCCAAGCUGUAUUGUGGCAUGAUAGCCGGUUUAACAGGUAGUACUCCGCUUUGCCAGCUGAAGCCCCCAUGUGACUCAAAAGAUAUUUGAGAAAAAACAGCAGAGGCCCUGCUUAGAGCAAGGAUGCUGGUUUAUUAUAUUGAUCAUAAUAUAUACAUUGUCGAAAUAUGUACAUAAGAGAAGCCUAUGGCUCAAGUAUAGUAAGGCCGAAGGAGAGCUAUGUUCCACGGCCUCCGGGUCUCCUCCUCAGAACCGCGUGAGUUGUCUCGAACGUCAAUGAGGUAGUAUGAUCCAUUGUGCAGAUUCUUGUUGACCACAAAGGGUCCUUCCCAAGGUGGGGAUAACUUGUGCAUAUCAGUCUGAUCCUGGAUGAGCCAGAGCACCAAGUCGCCUUCUUGAAAGGUUCUUGUUUUAAUCUGGCGGCUGUGAUAACGCUGCAGGUCUUGCUGAUAAACCGCCGAACGAGCUAAAGCCAUGUCCCGUUUUCAUCUAACAGGUCCAACGCCUCCUGGCAUGCUUGCUCAUUGUCCGCUUCAACAUAAUUGGCAACCCGGGCGAAUCAUGACGAAUGUCACUUGGGAGGACCGCCUCUGCCCCAUAAACCAUGAAAAAAGGUGUGUAACCCGUUGAUCUGUUGGGAGUGGUGUUGAUGCUCCAUAACACGGAAGGCAAUUCUUCCACCCAACAACCCGGCGUCCGCUUUAAAGGAACCAUGAGCUGGGGCUUGAUACCCUUCAAGAUUUCUUGGUUGGCUCUCUCAGCUUGACCAUUGGACUGGGGGUGUGCCACGGAUGCUAAAUCAAGCCGGAUGUGCUCUCUCUGACAGAAAUCCUCCAUCUCACCUUUAGAAAGGUUUGUGCCAUUAUCCGUGAUGAUGCUGUGUGGAAAGCCAAAGCGGAAGAUAAUCUUUUUGAGAAAUUGAACCGCCGUAGCUGCAUCACACUUGCUAACGGGCUCUGCUUCAACCCAUUUAGUGAACUUGUCAACCGCCACCAACAGGUGGGUCUUCUUAUCCUUGGAGCGCUUAAAGGGCCCCACCAUAUCAAGCCCCCAAGUGGCAAACGGCCAAGUGAUCGGAAUCAUCCUUAAUUCUUGAGCCAGAACAUGAGCUCGGCGUGAAAACUUCUGACAAGCGUGACACCGCUUUACUAGAUCCUCGGCAUCAGCAUGAGCUGUCAACCAGUAGAAUCCAUGACGAAAAGCUUUAGCAACCAGGGACUUUGAACCAGCAUGGUGACCACAAUCCCCUUCGUGAAUCUCACGUAGAAUCUCUUGGCCUUCUCCAGGAGAAACACAACGCUAAAAUACGCGUGAAACGCUGCAGCGGUGUAACUCGCCAUUGUGAAUAACCAUGGACUUGGAUUGCCGGACUAUCUGCGGGGCCAGAACUUCAUCGUCUAGUAACUCGACCUGGUUCAUAUACGCCAAAUAUGGAACUGUCCAAUCCGGCACAACGUGUAAAGCGGCCACUAAUUUAGCCUCCAGAUCAGGAACAACCAAAUCCUCCUAUGUAGGCAACUUAACAGACGGGUUAUGCAAGAUAUCUAAAAAGGUAUUGGGAGGUACCGGUUUACGCUAAGAUCCCAGCCGGCUUAAAGCGUCUACCGCUUCGUUUUUGCGCCGAUCAAUAUGCUCAACUUGAUACCCGUUGAAGUGACCCGCCACAAUAUCCACCUUGCGUCUGUAAGCCGCCAUGAGUGGAUCCUUAGAAUCCCAAGUGCCAGAAACUUGCUGGGCCACCAGAUCAGAGUCUCCAAAACAUCAUACCCGGCUUAAAUUCAUCUCCUUGGAUACACGGAGCCCGUGUAUUAACGCCUCGUACUCAGCUGCAUUGUUAGUACAGGGGAACAUUAAACGGAGAACAUAACAAAUUUUAUCACCUCGAGGGGAAGUAAGGACAACUCUAGCCCCUGAGCCCUCCAAUUGCCUGCAUCCAUCAAAGUGAAUAGUCCAGUAUGUGUUAUCCGGUUUGUCCUCUGGUGCCUGUAACUCGGUCCAAUCAUUGAUGCAGUCGACAAGUGCCUGAGAUUUGAUGGCUGUUCGAGGCAUAUACUUCAACCCAUGUGGACCAAGCUCAAUUGCCCACUUUGCAACCUGGCCAGUUGCCUCCCUGUUCUGAAUUAUAUCACCCAAAGGAGCUGAACUGACCACUAUAAUGGGAUGGCCUUGAAAGUAUUGUUUGAGCUUCCGACUCGCCAUAAAAACCCCAUAUACCAGCUUCUGCCAAUGCGGAUAUCGUUGCUUUGACUCGAUAAGCACUUCACUGAUAUAGUAAACCGACCGUUGAACCGGAUAUUCCUUUCCCGCCUCCUUGCGCUCAACCACAAUUGCCACACUAACAACACGGGCAUUAGUAGCCACGUACAACAACAAGGGUUCUUUGUCAACCGGAGAAGCAAGAACCGGCGGUUCAGCCAAUUGCCGCUUCAAGUCUUCAAACGCCGCAUUAGCCGCAUCACUCCAGACAAAGGUGUCUGUUUUGUUCAACAUCUGAUAUAGGGGGAUCGCCUUCUCUCCCAAGCGGCUAAUAAACCGGCUUAGGGAUGCAAUUCGACCUGCCAGACAUUGAACAUCAUCAAUGCACGCCGGUUUAGCCAAAGAUGUAAUCGCUUUGAUCUUCUCCAGAUUAGCCUCAAUGCCUCUGUUGGACACCAAAAAACCUAGAAGCUUGCCUGCCGGAACGCCAAAAACACACUUGUCCGGAUUAAGCAUCAUCUUAUACACCCGAAGAUUGUCAAAGGUUUCCUUGAGAUCAUCUAUGAAUGUCUCCUUCUUCCUGGAUUUUACUACAAUGUCAUCUACAUAGGCAUGAACAUUGCGCCCAAUCUGAGUGUGAAGACAAUUUUGCACACAGCGCUGAUAAGUUGCCUGGGCACUCUUGAGCCCAAAAGGCAUAGAAACAUAGUAGAAGGCUCCAAAGGGGGUGAUGAAGGCGGUCUUCUCCUGGUCCUUAACUGCCAUUUUGAUUUGAUGAUAACCUGAAUAGGCGUCCAAGAAACUCAAACGCUCACAACCCGCCGUCGCAUCAAUGAUCUGAUCAAUACGCGGGAGAGCAAAAGAAUCGGCCGGACAAGCCUUGUUCAAAUCUGUGUAGUCCACACACAUGCGCCAAGUGCAGUUUUUCUCAAGAACCAGCACCGGAUUAGCCAACCACUCAGGGUGAAAUACUUCGAUGAUAAAGCCAGCAGCCAAUAGCCGGGCUACCUCCUCACCAAUGGCCUUGCGUCUUUCCUCAUUAAAGUGAAAAAGAAACUGCUUGAUCGGUUUGAACUUGGGAUCAAUAUUGAGAGUGUGCUCAGUGAGUUCCCUCGGUACACCUGGCAUGUCAGAAGGCUUCCAUGCAGAAAUGUCCCGGUUCCCACGGAUGAACUCGAUGAGCGCGCUUUCCUAUUUCGGAUCCAGAUUUGUGCUGAUGCUAAACUGUUUGGAUGAAUUGCCAGGAACAAAGUCAACAAGUUUAGUCUCAUCAGCCGGUUUGAAUUUCAGGUUAGGGUCAUGCUCAGUGGUGGGCUUCUUCAGAGGGGUCAUGUCUGCCGGAUCAACAUUGUCCCUGUAGUGUUUCAACUCCUCUGUAGUGCAAAUCGACUCAGCAUAAGCCGCAUCACCUUCCUCGCAAUCCAAAGCGAUCUUACGACUUCCGUGAACUGUAAUGUUCCCCUUGUGACCCGGCAUCUUGAGCUGCAAAUAAAUAUAACAGGCCUUCCCAUGAACUUUGCAUAAGCCGGUCGUCCAAACAGUGCAUGAUACGGGCUCUAGAUCCUCACUACUUCAAAGGUCAAUGUUUCAGACCGGGAGUCAUGCUCAUCACCAAACACAACCUCCAAAGCGAUCUUGCCAACAAGAUAUGCCGAUUUACCUGGUACUACACCAUGAAAAACAGUGUUUGACGGUUUAAGACUCUUGUCUGUCAACCCCAUGCGACGGAAGGUCUCAUAAUACAGAAUGUUGAUACCGCUCCCUCCAUCCAUAAGCACCUUGGUGAACUUAUAACCUCCCACCUGAGGUGCCACCACUAAGGCCAGGUGACUCAGAUUGUCAACCCAGGGCGGAUGAUCCUCUUUGCUCCACACAAUGGGUUGCUCGGACCACCGCAAAUAACGUGGUACUGCCGGUUCAACAUCAUUAACUGCUCUCUUGUGAAGCUUCUGAUCGCGCUUGCCCAAACUAGUAGUGAACACAUGAUACUGCCCACCAUUCAACUGCUUUGGAUGACUCUGAUAACGUGACUGCUGCUGAUUUCCUUGAUUAUUCUGUUGGUUAUUACCACCUUGGUUGUUCUGGUUGCCCUGAUUAUUCUAAAAUCCAGAUUUUGAACCGCCACCACCAUGAAAACCUAAACCUGAACUGCCCGAUGGACCCUGAUCAUACCGAAAGAGAUCAGAGUUUUUGAACUCCUUCAUAAUGUGACAAUCUUUCCAAAGAUGUGUUGCUAGAACCUUCUUGGUUUCGUGCUUUGGGCAGGGCUGGUUUAACAAAUGCUCCAGAUUCAUACUACCGCCACGCUAGGGCGGUUUACCCUUACGAUGCUGCAUAUUAGUGUUAGCCACAAAAUCUGAAUUAUCUGCUUUGCGCUUACCAUUGUUCCCAUGGCCCCCUUGGUUAUGCUGCUGUCCCUUUGCACCACCAUUCUUCUUUCCCUUCUCCGGUUUCUCCCCAUCAGAAUCGGGAUCCCUGGUAUUAUCAAAAUCGGCAUAUUUGACCAAGGCUGCCAUAAGGGUCCCCAUAUCAUUGCAGUGGCGCUUGAGCCGUCCCAACUUCAUCUUCAGUGAUUUAAACCGGCAAUUGCAUUCCAAUGUUAUGAUUUCCUAGCCAGCGUUAAUCCAAUCCGAUGAGUGCAAAACUUCUGAAACCCGACGCACCCAAUGAGUGGUUGACUCGUUCUCCCCUUGAAAACAAGUAUCCAAAUCCACAAUGGACAUAGGCUGUUUACAUGUAUCCUUGAAAGUGGCUAUAAACCGGGCCUUCAAUUGGUCCCACGACUCGAUGGAGUUAGCUGGUAGAUUCUUCAACCAUGUACGGGCUGUUCCCUCUAACAUCAUUGUGAAGUACUUUGCACAAGCCGCUUCAUCCACAUCCAGCAUUUCCAUUGCCAUCUCACAACUUUCCAGCCAUGCCUCGGGAGGUUGAUCAGCGGUGUAAUUAGGCACCUUACAUGGACCCUUGAAGUCUUUAGGCAGCCGCACAUUAUGGAGAGCCGGAAUGAGACACGGUACUCCCCAGGAACUGAAGGCAAGCCCGGUGCCCUGGUCUACUGACGUUGCUGGCUGAACCGGGGCGGGUUGAUAACGACCCGCGUACUGUGCUGCUAAAGCGGCCUCCCUUCAUGCUCUACCAUUAUCCACCAGAUCCUGAGCAUUUACCUAACCACGCGCCGGAUUGGGUCCUUGAGGGACAAUACGGCGCCGUGCACUGCUGGACACCUCCGGUUCAUCUAUAUGCCUGCUAUAGCUUUUUCUCGGACGUGGGGUCGUGUGAAUCCCGUCUCGGCUAUACGAGUAAGCUUUCUGCUAUGUCAUAGCAGUUUGAAGAAGAUCCCUGGCCCGCCGUGUCUCAACCGCCACUAGCGAUUCACCUUGUAUCGGCAUAGCUGCCAGCCGGGAUGUUGCUGCUAUCAUAUUAUCCAAAGGGGUAGAGAAGUGACCCGGCAGGGGUGUGGUAUACCGUGGCGGGUUGUCUGUCCGUCGAGGUGGACCCAUCACCUGAGGUUGAUCCGGCGCUCCGGUCCUUGGCACAAUAGUCCGGUUGACUGCUGCAGGAUUGCUCGUCCCUGCCCCUGGUGUGUCAAAGAGAUUCAUCGCAUUGUAAUCCGCCGACAAGCGAGAUUGAUGUUUCCUCCUGAAUACUUCAUUCAAAGCAUUCUGAUCCAUCAAAAUUCGAUAAUUCUCGGCUUGAAUCCUCUGCGCCUGGGCAUCUAAAGCGGCCCGUUCCUCAGCCAUCCUGGUAUCUUCUGCCGCCAAGUCCUCCUUGGCUUGCGCUAUCUGAUCCCGUAACUUAGCGACCUCUGCAUUAUGCCGAUCUUGAGUCUCUGGGGUAACUGUUGUGGCCAAUAACAUUGUCCAGUCAUCCAUCAAUCCGGACAGAACUUGAGCCGGCCGGCGCGCGGAGCCUCCUGCCCCUGCUGCUAGUCCAGAUGCCGCUACGAUAGAAUUUUGCAAAGUUGGCUGUGUUCCGGCCAUGAAGAUUCCGACUCGAUUUGGCGGUUCGAGAAAUUCCGGAAUACUGGUGCCAUCAGAAUACCCUUCGAAUACACCGUCAUGAACUUGGUAUAGGGACUCGGUUUCACCGGCGGAUGAUUCACCGUCGGAAUAAGCAACCGUCUCUCCUUCGGACACUGGUUCAGAUCCGAUCCCGUGGACACAUCCUACAAACGCACACUUCAUGGUGGGCUGAAUCCGAGCGGGGCCUGCACUCUGAGCCGUCUCGACGAGGUCGGUGCAGAUGUCCGGCUCAGGGCCCGGUUCGCCGAUCUUGCCGAUGAAAACGUGAAUUCCGCCAAAGGGGACCCGAUACCCAUACUCAAUUGAGCCGGACUUGGGGCCCCACCCUGCAUCGUCGAUGUAGAGCUUGCCGCGACGACUCUUGGUCAUCCGGCCAACCACGUAUCCUUUGAGUCCUUCAAAGCUGCCCUUCAAGAACUCGAAACCAUCGUGCGAUAGCCCCACGGUGGGCGCCAACUGUCAUGGAAAUAUCACGUCAGAUGUCCUCGUACAAGGACUUAGUCGUGGAGCUAUCGCGACGGGUUAGCUUAAGGGGUUAAACCGGACAAAGGACACGAGGGUUUUUAUACUAGUUCGGCCCCUUCGAUGAAGGUAAAGGCCUACGUCUAGUUGUGAUGGGAUUAUUGGGGUCUCGAUAACCAGGGAUCUAAACAUGCUAUGCCUGGCUUUCAAGUUGUUGUUUCUUGUCAAAGCACACUGCUAAGGAGGAAUUUGCAGCUAUGGGCAAGGGAAAAGGGAAGACAAAUUUGUCCAGCUUUGUUAACCUUAGCGCCAAGGAGCUUCAUUCGGGAUUCUUAAACCGCCUCUUCACAAGCCGGGAUUAUGAGGCCGGUUUAGUGAACUUAAUGAAAGAGCGCUAUGAGGUAAUCUUCAAAACACUUUAAAUUUGCUUGCAAUGUAUAUUCACUCCAUAGAAACUGUGAUGGAGGAUAAACUAGAGGUCGGGGUUACCGGCACACGACUUGGUGUAUCUUGAUGUGUUCCGGGUGCUAGCCCUGCCCCUCUAUUUAUAAGUUGAGCCUUGGGGUCAAAACUUUGAGAAAGAGCUCCAGGACCACACGCUAGGGUCCUUGGCAUCUGCCCCAGACGCCAGGGUCCCUGGCGUCUGGCCCCUGGCCUCCGCAAAACUUCCUUUUGCUUCUUCCAUAAACCUCAUGGGCUUUACCCCUUGGCGCAAAUAAAGUGUUCUCGUAACGAAACAUUUCCAGAACAUCCGAAACUCCUUCCGGAGACUAAACACUAUUAUCCCAUAUAUUAAUCUUUACCUCUGGACUAUUUCAGAGCUCCUCGUCAUGUCCAUGAUCUUAUUUGGAACUCCAAACAGCAUUCGGUCACCAACAUACAUAACUCAUAUAAAACUAUAUCGUCAACGAACGUUAAGCGUGCGGACCCUACGGGUUCGAGAAUGAUGUAGACAUGACCGAGACGCUUCUUCGGUCAAUAACCAAUAGCAGGACCUGGAUGCCCAUAUUAUCUACAUAUUCCAUGAAAAUAUUUAUCAGUCAAACCUUUAUGACAACAUACGUAGUUCCCUUUGCCUGUUGGUAUGUUACUUGGCUGAGAUUCGAUCGUCGGUAUCUCUAUACCUAGUUCAAUCUCGUUACCGGCAAGUCUCUUUACUCAUUCCGUAAUACAUGUUGUAUUACCGAGAGGGCCCAGAGAUACCUCUUCGUCAUACGGAGUGACAAAUCCUAGUCUCGAUCCAUGCCAACUCAACAGACACCUUCAGAGAUACAUCUAGAACACCUUUAUGAUCACCCAGUUACAUUGUGACGUUUGAUGGCACACACGGCAUUCCUCUGGAGUUUGGGAGUUGCAUGAUCUCAUGGUCGAAGAAACAUGUAUUUGAUAUUAAGAAAGAAGUAGCAAUAAACUGAACGAUCAUAUGCUAUGCUAACGAUUGGGCCUUUUCCAUCACAUCAUUCUCCUAAUGAUGUGAUCCUAUUCUCAAAUGAUAACUGAAAGUGCGUUAUAUCGACUAGAGGGGGGUGAAUAGGCAAUUUUUACAAAUUCGUCACUGAGGAAUUUCUAGGUGAAGAAAUUCCAAAGCAAUGACACACUAGUAGCGGCAUAAGUACUCAGGUAUAAAUAGAACAGAGCAACAACAUAGUCAUCAUGAUGAAAUGAAAACAAGCACAGAGUAUAGAUAGCGUGAUAACAGGAUAAGCAGGCUGAAGACUAAGUGACUAAAGAAUUUGGAAUGAGGAAUUAGAGAAAAUCUUCAGUCAAAGUCUUCAAAUAGUAAUGAUCAGGUUCAUCAACACAUGAAUGAGGAAAUGAAAGGUUUGAGGAAAUAGAACCAGUUGGCUUGGUGAAGACAAUGAUUUGGUAGACCAGUUCCAACUGGUGUGACAGUUGUACGUCUGGUUGGAGCGGUUGAGUAUUUAAACUCGAGGACACACAGUCCUGGACACACAGUCCUCAACAUAUUCUCCUUGAGCUAAAGUCACACAAACCUCGCCCAACACUCAUGGUAAGUCGUCAGGUGACUUCCAAACCUUUAUAGACUUGGUCACUCGGUGAUCCACAAUUCCUCUUGGAUGCUCAGACCAUGACGCCUAACCGUCUGGAGGAUACACAGUCCUAAAAGGUAACAAGCAUCCGUUCCACACAGGAACAAUCUCUUCGGUAAUGCUCAAUCACUUUGGGUUUGUAGGUGUUUGGGUUUGGGUUUUGGGUUUUCCUCACUUGAUGAUUUUCUCUCAAAGUCCUUGGAGGAUGGUAUGCUCUCAAUGACAAGUGUCAGUUUCUCUUGGAGCAGCCAACCAGCUAGUGGUUGUAGGGGGCGGCUAUUUAUAGCCUAGGAAGCAGCCCGACAUGAUAAGACAUAAAUGCCCUUCAGUAAUAUGACCGUUAGGUGGGUAGAUAUUUUGGACAGCUGGCACAUAGCAUAGUAACGGUCUGAUAUUUGAGGUUCAAAUUCCUCAGGGCUAUCAUGUUCCUCACUGUGUAGGCAAUCCGCACUAGCGAAUUCCUAACUCCUCAGUCAGAACAAAUUCCUGAGAGACCAGAAGAUCUUCAUCUCUGUCACUGAAGAAAUUGACUGAACUGAUAUGAGAUUUCCAAAGGCUUCACUCGAAAGGAUUGGGUAGAUGUAGGAUUUUGAGAUGAGCAUCACUUGGAAAUCAGUUUCCUUAGUAUUACCUCGACCCCCUUUAACAGUACGGUGUUUCCUAUGACUCAAGAAAGAGAAAAUGAAACUACGAAAACAAAAGUCUUCACACUUCAUAAUCCUCGCAUGAAUAUCCAAGUCUUCAAGGUCACACCAAUUUCUUCACUUUCAAAAUCUUCAGGAGAACCAAAGUCUUCAGCUGAAGAAAUACAUUUUUAGGGGUCAACUUUCAUCAUAAAUAUCAAACUCCUCAUCGACUUAUAGAGCAUGUGUACACUCAGAAACAUAUUAGUCCCUUAACCUAUAAGUCUACAAUACACAAAAAUCACUAAGGGGCACUAGAUGCACUUACAAUAACUCAUGUCUAUGGUUAGGAAACCUUAACCAUGUUUUGAUCAAUGAGCUAGUCUAGUAGAGGCUCAUUAGGGACACAUUAUUUGUUUAUGUAUCCACACAUGUAUUUAAGUUUCUGGUCAAUAGAAUUCUAGCAUGAAUAAUCAACCUUUAUCAUGACUAAGGAAAUAUAAUAAUAAUAACAACAACUUCAUUAUUGCCUCUAGGGCAUAUUUCCAUCAGUCUCCCACUUGCACUAGAGUUAAUAAUCUACAUUACAUUGUAAUGAAUCUAACACCCAUGGAUUCUUGGUGAUGAUCAUGUUUUGCUCGUGGAAGAGGCUUAGUCAACGGGUCUACUACAUCAACGGGUCUACUACAUUCAGAUCCUUAUGCACUUUACAAAUUUCUAUGUCUCCAUCCUCGACAUAUUCGCGAGGAAUUGAAGCAUCGCUUGAUGUGUUUUGUUCUCUUGUGAAACCUGGCUUCCUUCACGAAGGCAAUUGCUCCAGUGUUUUCACAAUGGAUUGUCAUUGGACCCGAUGCACUGGAUAUUACCCCUAGAUUAGAUAUGAACUCCUUCAUCCAGACUCCUUCAUGCGCUUCUUCCGGAGCAGGUAUGUACUCUGCUCCACACAUAGAUCCCUCCACGACACUCUACUUAGAACUGCACCAACUGACAACUCCACCAUUUAAUAUAAACACGUAUCCAGUUUGUGACUUAGAUUCAUCCGGAUCUGUGUCGAAGCUAGCAUCAGCGUAACCCUUUAUGACAAGCUCUUCAUCACCUCCAUAAAUGAGAAACAUAUCGUUGGUCCUUUUCAUGUACUUCAGAAUAUUCUUGACCACUGUCCAGUGAUCCACUCCUAGAUUACUUCGGUACCUCCCUGCCAUACUUAUGGCAAGGCACAAAUCAGGUCUGGUACACAGUAUGUCAUACAUUAUAGAACCUAUGGCUGAGGCAUAGGGAAUGACUUUCAUUCUCUCUCUAUCUUUUGUCGUGGUCGUGCUUUGAGUCUUACUAAAUUUCACACCUUGCAAAAUAGGCAAGAACCCCUUCUUGGACUGAUCCAUUUUGAACGUCUUCAAAAUCUUAUCAAGUUAUGUGCUUUGUGGAAGUCCUAUCACUACAAAAAAAUACACUUCCGUGAUGAUACGUGUUUGUCACAGUAGGUCACGUUUUUUGUCAUGCAUGUACAUCCAUGAUGAUUUUAUGACAGAAUCAAGAUAGUCAUACCUGUGCUGUCGUAGAAGUGUUCCAUGACAUUACCAAAAUUAUCAUCAUGGAAGUGUCCACUUCCAUGACGAUAAAUCGCGCGUCACAGAAGUGCUUUCGUAAAGGGUGACCGACACGUGGCAUCCACCAUAACGGAACACCGUUAAGCUAUCGGGUCGGGUUUUGGAUCCGAUUACCCGUUAAAAGCCCCGACCAAUGGGGAUAUUCCACCUGUAAAAUCAUCAUUGGCUGGAGGAAACACGUGUCGGCUCAUCGUGGGGACAAAUGUCAUCCACUCAUUGGACAAAAGGCGCCUAUGAUACGUCGACACGUGGCACGGCCCAACAAAGGCCCAUUCCUGUGAAAAGGCCGGCCCAUUUGACUUGGUCAAAAGGUGGCAGGCCGGCCCACGGAAAGCCUCUUAACGGCCUAUUCGCAUAUAGCCCAUUUACUACCUGCAAACACAGGGCCCGUUACUGCCUAUCCGAAUUAGGCCCAGUAGCAUCAUCUGGGCUGUCCAAUAUGAUUCCAACCCAUUUUAACUUCCGGCCCAUGUAUGGCCCAUGAUGUCUUUCGGCCCAUAUGAGGCCCUUUGUAACUCUUGGCCCAUUAAUGGCCCGUGCUGAAACUGGCUCAUAAUGAAUAGUGUAUGACUUUAUACCCAUUAAUGGCCCAUUAUUCCAUUGGGCUGUUUCCAACCCAUGUUAUAUUUUGGCCUUCUCAGGGCCCAUUUUAUUCUUGGGCUCAUUUCUAGCAUUCAGUUACUUACGACCCAUUACUGUCAUUUUCUGCUUGUGGGCCAAAUUCAACCCUUUGUUACAGUCGGCCCGUUUGUGGCCCGUUAAUACGUUGGGCCAUUUUCAUAGCGUCAUCAAAUUCGGCCUAUUAACGACGACCCGUUAUGGUCGGCCCAUGAAUGGAUGAUUCCAACUCUAGCCCGUUUACGGACAUAAUGCGAUCUGUUAUUGGCCCAUGUUUGGCCGAUCGAUCGUCCGUCCCAUAUAAGGCCCAUUGAUGAUACGGCCCGUAGAAGGCCCGUUGUGUGUACGGCCCGUAGAAGGCCCAUUGUUUCUACGGCCCGUAGAAGGCCCAUUGUUUCUAUGGCCGGUAGGAGGCCCAGUGCCACUACAGUAAAUAUGUAGCCCAUGGUUAUUGUGGCCUAGUUUUAAAAAAUAGGUUAUUGCGGCCACUAGCAAACCAUAGAAAAAGAACUGCGCUGACUACAAGCAAACAAAUAAACAAGACAACAAGGAAAUAAAUAAGCAAGCAACUUAUGCUAGGCUAUCACGGCUAUUACACAUAUUACAUCCACUGGGCAUCAAAGUUCGGCACCAGUGCAAAUAUAGGGAACAAAGCAGCAUAUAAACACCGCAGCAAAACAAGUCCAGAACUGAAACCACUUCAGAAGAGCUCAAGAAACAAUAUCUUGGGUACCCAUAAUGCUGGCAAGAUGCUUAGCAAGCUUAUUAACUUUCUCUUGUUUGGCGCUUAAAUCCUCCAGCGCUUGCUGUUGCAAAAGAAAUUACGCAUCUGAAUUCUGCAGGGACUUCCUCAGUCCUUCGGCUUCUUGCCGCAGCACAGUUGACUGAUGCCUUUCAGCUUGUAGCUGAGACUGAAGAAGCCGAAGUGAUUCAGGCAGCGAGUUCGAAGAGCUUGUGCCAGCAGUACUGGCCAGUAACUCGAACACUACAUCAACGUAGGACUGUGGGGUUUUCUCACUGUCUACAAGAUCGUUUUUAUCACCUUUCUUGGAGACCAACAGGGUUGUCUCACUAUCUUGAACCUUAUCUACAUUACUUUCUCUACCAUUGCAUAGUGGGGUGCUCUUCUCCAAUAUUCUGUUUGCGUACUACAAGAGAAACAAGCAGACACAUCACAUGUUUAGCUUGUAGUAUACGCAACUCAUUCUGGUAAUCCGGUUCAGUAGUAAGGUGGACAGGAUAACAGCAUGAAACAAACAUAUACUACCUCCGUCCGGAAAUACUUGUCACCAAAAUGAACAAAAGGAGAUGUAUCUAGAUAUAUAUUAGUUCUAGAUACAUCCAUUUUUAUCCAUUUUGAUGACAAGUAUUUUCGUACGGAGGGAGUAUCUAUGUACUAUGGUCAUUGUAUUGUCCAUAUCAUUCUAGUUUAUGUUGCCUAAUCAAGAUAGAGACACAGUUCAACUCAUAUAUUUUUAAGACACAACAACAUAGAGAGAAUAUAAGUGUGAGAAAGUACACAACAUUGGCAUCACUUUUAAUGUGCAUCACAUGAGAACAUAACUGUUUAGACAACUUAAACUGAAAUCAACAUAGAGCAAGAAGUUAGAACAACAAUCCAGUUAAAGAAAUAGGUUUAAAACAUACAUGUUGCGCCAUUGGAGUUUCAAUUGGAUCCUUCAAAUUCGAAAGUAGUUGGUAUGAGUAAAUACAAUGAUGCAGCAACAAAGGAUUAUGGACUAUAGCUAUGGAAUCUGACUUGAGAAUAGUUGCUCUUCUGCUUUAAACGUGGAGUUUGCGUUAGUUGUGGUGGCACUACUAGGAAAAGAGCUAUAGAUGGGAUGGGCACUAAUGGCGCACCUUUCAGGUGGUGCGCCACUACUAUAUACUAAUGGCGCACCAUUUGAUGAUGCGCCAUUAGUGUGGAAGACACUAAUGGCGCACCAGACACACGGUGCGCCACUAGUAAUAUUCUUUUCCAUUUUUCCAUACAUACUAAUGGCGCAUCCGAGCGAAGUGCGCCAUUACUAGUUCUAACUAGUAAUGGCGCACCAGUCACAGAGUGCGCCAGUACUGUAUUCUUUUUUUUAUUCUUUUUUUUGCAAAACUACUAAUGGCGCACCGUGUCACAGUGCGCCAUUACUAGUUUAAACUAGUAAUGGCGCACUAUGACUCGGUGCACCAUUAGUAUAUAUAUUUUUUUUACUUUUUUGCAAAAGUACUAAUGGCGCACCACCUGCAGGUGCACCAUUAGUAACUAGGGUUACUAAUGGCGCAUUUGCAGGUGGCGCGCCAUUAGUAACCUGGGAGCCCAACAAGAUAUUUUGGACAGCCACACCUACCCACUCACUUUCCCCACUUCAUUCCCUCCACCUCCUUCUCCAAGCUUUCGGCCACCUCCUCCUCCUCACCUCAUUUGCACCAUAGAUUCAUCAAAAUUAAGUGGUGAAAUUACCUUUUUUUGAUAGGUAAGUAAGGGUAAAGCUAUCUUCAUGUUGUAGAUCUACUUUUUUUUCU